rnacentral:lncRNA from 1 species
UUUAACUACACUUUUUUUAGUCCCACAUCGAUAGAAUUCAAAACACACAAAGAAGGUUGGUUUAUAAAUAAAGAUUCAUUUUGCCUAAAACAAAUAUGAAGUCUUAAGAGUGGGAGGAGCUUUUAUUAAAAAUAAUAUAGCUCUUUUUAUGGACCAAUGUAUAAAUUUUUGGCAUAAAAAUAUAUUUUUAGCCUUAGUGAAUUUAUAAAGAAAAUAAAAUUACGAAAAUACCCCUACCGGUUAACCGGCCUAACCGGAAAACCGGUCAGCCAGAACCGGUUAUCGGUUAACUGGUUUUUAAACCUUGGCCGAACCACGUAAAUCUGUUUUGUUCUUGUUUUUUGCUCGGUUUUCUCAGUUCGAUUGAUGCAUCGAUCCUAUCAAGUGAGUGUUAACUUUUGUGUUCUACAAGAUCCAAGGUGAUUGUUCUGUUCGAACAAUAACAACCGAUAUCAGAGCCUCGUUUGAGGUUCGAUAGGUUUCUCGAAAAAGUGUGUGAAGUAAAAGAGUAAUCUGCUUCAACGACAGAAACACUGUUCAUCCGAAAAAGGUCUCUGCGGAAUACUAUUGACGUCCAAGAUUUUUUUUUGAAGUUUCCAGUAAAAGAGUAUUACGUUCUUUUAGAAAAAGUUGUUGCUGUUAACAAUAAUGUUGGGAACUAGAUCUAGAGCAAUGAAUUUUUUUAUUAAUCUUUAUCCAUUUUGGACCUCUUAGAAUGGGAAAGAGGAGAAGAAAGAACACGAACACAUGAAUUUAACAUGGCUUCACACAAUCACACCUAUAUGAAUAUCAUGCAUCUACACCACUUCUAUAGUGUUUUAUUGGGAUUCAUCUUUCAGAAUUUUGUUUAGAAAAUUUUAUACUUAAAUACUAUUCAUCUUUUAUUGGGGAAAUAUAAAUUUUUGAGCCAAUGCCUUGUAAAACAUUACAGGAAAUAAGUUACUUAAAGGGCAAAGCCAAAAAACUCAACAAGCAGUGUUACAGGUAAACAAUACUGUUAACAACUAGUUAUGUUUUGUUAGAAGUUAUUAGAGUCUUGUUUAGGUAUAUGAUGUUGACACACCCCUUCUAUAAAGGCUUUUAAAAUAUUUAGUCGUUACUAAUUAUGAUGUACUUAAAUUCUCACUUCUAAUAGAUAUUAUUACUUAUUAAGUUCAACAUUAUAUGAAUAAACAUCUCUACCAAUUCAUCACCUACGGCAUAGUGAGGCCUCAUUCCAAUUUACAGUCUGUGCUUGCAUAGUUCGUAUUUUAAAAAACAUCGAUUUUUUUCUAAGAAUUCCUAAACUCUGAUUUCAAAUCUGUUUUUUUAAAUGCAUAAAUUUCAUUUUUUGCAGAAAUUUCGUUCAGGUGAAUAUAAUGUUAUUGUCUCAACUUCAAUAGGAGAAGAAGGUCUAGAUAUCAUUGAAGUGGAUCUUGUAAUCUGCUUUGACGCCAACAUCUCAUCUUUGAGAAUGACCCAGCGAAUGGGAAGGACAGGAAGGAAGAACAGUGGCCGAGUUGAUAUCCUUGAGAAUUUUUUUAAUCAUGUAACUCAAAAUUAAGAAAAUAAAAAAAAACCAUGAAAAGUUUUACCACACACCAAAAAAGAAUUAUGAUCCAAUCUAAUUCUCAAUUUUAUUACCUGAUUUUCUUUAAUUUACAUUACUAGUUUUAGCUUGUGAAGGUCACGAGUUAAAUGGACACUUACGAAAGCAAGCUACCGGAAGGGCUAUAAAAAAGAAAAUGUUUAAUGGUGGAGUCAACAGCUUUGAUUUUCAUCUAAGCCCCCGAAUGGUAAUAUAGUUUUACAAAUUUCAUGCUGCCUAAAUGUUAUUGAAAUCUUAUUGUUCACAUUAUUUUUCUUGUCCUUGAAGGUCCCCCAUUGUUGCAAACCAAAAUUACAUAUUGUAGAGUUUUUGGUUGGCGAGUUUAUACAUUUUGGAAGAAAAACCAAAGCUACUCCCAUGGGCAGAUCCCUGCUCUCAGGCAUAUUAUCAACUGAGGAAAAUGACACAAUCUCUAAGUAUUUUCAUCAUCCCAAUGAGGACGAUUGGAAGCCAUCUCUUAUUGCUUUUCCUCAUUUUCAGACUUUUCCUUCCAGAAUACACAGAGUGGGCCAUUCAAUGAAAACAGUACACAUGUUUAUCAAUGCUAUGGAAUACCUUCAAAUGUCUCCAUCUUCUAAACCCAAUGUAGUUCUUCCGGUUGAGGUCAGACCAUCAGAUAUAUAUAUAUUUUAAAAUAGAUAAUCUUUGUUUUCUUUUAUACACAAUCACAAAUAUAUCAGAAUACUCUUGUUAACUGGUUGCGGGGCUAAUUCAAUAUAAUGCAGACCAUAAUUGUUUAAGACUCAGGCAACACCUUUUAAGACUACCUGAUGUUUUGUUUAUUGAGAUUAUAAAAGGCAUCAGUCUCUCCUUUAGGUCUGAGAUUUAUACGAAGAGUUUUGUACACAAUUAGAGGAAAGUACUAUGCAAGUUUAGAAGACCAAUCUCUUGAGACGACACACUUAAUUGCUUGAGCACUAAGUACUAUAGCCAUAUAGGAGAGACUCGAUGGGCCUAAAUCUGUCCCCCUCAUAUUUUUUUUCUUUCCUUUUUAUUAUAAUUUAGGGUACCGCCCUCUCAUUUUCAUCAAUGGAAAAUUUAUUUCUUGUAAAAAAAGAAUACUCUUGUUGAAAUUUGAAUAAUAACUUUUGUUUGAUUCAGGCGGCAAAAAAGUUAAUCUCCGAAGACAGUGAUAUUCGUCUAAAAGGUAUCAUUAAAAAUUUACAAGUUAAUUUUUUUUGUUUUGGUAAAUAAUUACAAAAUAAGGAAAGCAUUUUCAAGUUAAAUUUCUCUUAUAUCUAGGAUUAAAUUGCAUCAAAUGUCUAAUUCACAUUUCAUCAUAAAAUCCAUGCAAAUAAUAUAGAAGAAAAACGUGCCAUUAGUCUUUGACAGAAUAAAAAUCUUGGUCGAUAUUCCAUCUGUUUGAGUUACAAUUAGUAUACGAUCAAUUUAAUUGUGAGUUCUAUAAGAUUGUUCUUCACUUCUUCCCAAGGUCGUCAUAAAACUCUAAAACCAAGCAGUAUUGAAAACAUCAAACAUCCCCACCACAACCCUAACACAACAUGAUAUUAGACUCUGUGACAUCAUUGAAGCUUACCAGAAACUCACCCACCAUUCUCCUCCAUGGGGCUUUCAUUGGAAUGCUUUGGGGAACCUUGCUUGACACGUCUGGUCCGAGAAGAACAGAAGGCUAAAGAAGCAUACCCUCAGAUCUCCAGAAGAGCUAUACCAGAAGUUUAUUUGAGACAUAUAAGUAAAAUGAAUAGGAUACGAAUUUAUAAAUGGGGGAGAACAAAUGUUCGAUCCCUUCUAAAAUGUAUUCAAUUAGCUUAUAUACAUUUGGAGGGAUUAUAUCUAACAUUUGGAGGGAAAUAUUGAGGGAUGUGAGUAUCGGGAAUCCCAAUUUUCAAAAGUCUGUUCUCCUUCCAGGCAUCUCCCCGAGCUUCUCCAACCUUCUUCAGCCUCCUCCAGCUUUCUCCAGCCUUCUUGCAAGCAUCGACCAGAGACCAGAUCUGGCCGACCAGCUUCUCCAGCCUUCUCAAGUCCUCUACUCUUUUUUACUCCCUAAUCUAAACCCUAAAUACUAGGGUAAAUCUGGAUCCGCCUAACUGGAUCUGCUUUUUCUUCUCUUUAAACUACUAUUUUUUUUUUUUUUAAACUAAGUAAUAUUUUGAAAAUACAGGUAAUUAUUAUAAUAUUUAAAAAAAUACAGGGAAUAUUGCAAAUUUCCCACCCUAAAUUAUGCGACGCCUAGGCGCCCCAUGCGGUCAUGCGACCAAGGCCAUCACAUGACCGCAUGGUCGCAUGAAAAACUUUGGAGUAAUCUGUCUUGGAUUAAAACAAAUACUAUCAGCUAUAUUCAUAUCAUCAUAUGGGAGUCCAACCUCUUGAGGUACCGGUCCAUGGCUACAUAAUGCCAGGGUUAUAGCCAUAGAAGUGAGUGACAAUGUUUUAUAUGUUUUGUUACUUUUUAGCCUUACUAUUUGUAUUUCAUUUCCUUAUAUUUGUACUCUGGGUAAUGCCCAUCCAUUUUUAUCUUCAGCAAUGAAAUUUUAAACUUAUUAAAAAAAAAACCAUUUAACUAAUUAUAAUAAAUAGGACUUGCAAGUUAUACAAUGCAUCCGUUUUCUCCCUUUCCCAUCUAUUAUAGACAUGUUUACUAAUUACUACAAUAGACAAUACCAUUUUUUUAAUGAUUUAAUAUUUUUGAGAAGUUAAUUGUAUCAACAAUAGCCAAUUUGAGUUGACUGGUUUAUCUUAUUCUUGGCUAAUUAUUAUUCUCUAAUUUUUUUUUUUUUAAAUUAAGGUGUUUAUGAUUUUCCUGAACAAACAUCGUGUUUUGAACCAUUAUCUCUUAGUAACCCCGAUGCCGUAUUUGAGAAUUAUAAGCUAGAGUUUGCUUCACAGAAAGCUGGCCAUCAGUUUCUCUUCGAGACAAAUUUUGUGUCUGUUAAUACUCUUGGAGAGGUUGUAAUUGCUUCUUUUCCCACUCUUCCUUUCAUAGAUGUUUCAGAUAUCAGAAGUGACUUGUCUCAUGAUCACCGAACAAAACCCACUUACUUAUAUGAGGCAUCAAUGUUCCAUUACAAUAAGAAAACUUUGAUUCCAAGGGAUGCUUUAAUUUUAAGUAAGCUUUCUGAUUCAAGAUACACUGACUCUGAAGAUGUAUUUGCCUGUCAACCAUAUAUUUAUAAAGAGAAAAGCAAGGAAGAAACAUAUCCAAAAGAAGAGAUUUUGCAUCAAACACCACUUAGUACUCAGGAAAUGCUAGUCUCGAAAGACAAUUUACAAAUGAGUAAAGUUUCAAACUCAAUUUUACCAGCCUGUGAAUCUGCCAGUGCAAGAAAUCACUUUGAUUCUAGUCCAAAAUUUUCCAGUAAACAUGGUCAUUCUGAUUCCGAAACAAAUCAUUCUUUUUCCUCAAGCAUAAAUCAUGAUCAUGAAAAUUGUGAAUUACUUACGGAUCACCAUUCGAUAAAUUCACACAUCCGUUCAAAUUUGGGCAAUGAUACAUUCCAUGGACAACUAAACACUGAAGAAAAAUAUGAUUCAGAUUAUGCCCUUGAUGAUAAAACUAACGCACAAGUCAAUACUAAUAUUACAUUCAAUAAUCAAGUUAUUGAUGGAAGCCCUGGUGAUUGGCUAAUGAAAUUAGAAUCUCCGAAAACAGUACAAGUUGCACCGAAGUUUAAAAGGUUGCGUAAAUACAAUGAUACUGUACAAAAACUUCCGUUUACCGACUUUGAGAGAAAUGCAAGCGAAACAAAUAUAAAUUUACAUCACAUUGCAGAGGAUGGUUUCUGUCAGAAAAGGAGAGGUGAUACUUUUUUCUCUGUCUAAAUUAUUUCUUCUUAUCAAACUACUGAUCAAAUCUUCAUUAUACUCUCCACAUUUCGGUCUUUAGUUCUUUACCAUUGUAUUCAAUAAGUGGUAGCUUGACAUUAGUUAUUAACUUGUUAUGUUUGUAGGUUUGGACAAGAAAAUGACACUUGUCAAGUCAUUCAUUGAAGAAGAAGCUGAGUAAGAAAUCAGUUAAAUCUUCAUAUUAAUUGUCACUGUUUUCACUGCAAAUUAAUUGUCACUGGUUCCGGAUGCGCGCGCAUAUGCGACCUCCCAGGGAGGCGCAUCUCCCUUAGCCGGAUUCGACCCGGAUCCGGUCCUGAAUUUAAAAAAACAGGCCAAAAAAAAUUUAUUUUAAGGCAAAAAUAUUCUUUGUACCUUGAAUUCUAUCAAUGUGGGACUAAAUAAAGUGUACAUGUGUUAAAUAAAUUAUUGUUAUAGAAUAUUCUAUGUACUUUUUGAAUUCUAUCAAUGUGAGACUAAAUAAAGUGUACAUGUGUUAAAUAAAUUAUAGUGUUAUAUGUACUUUUUAUAUCCUAUCAAUAUAGGAAUUUUAUAUAAAUAGAUAUAUAACAGGGAAUCUAUGAGGAAGAAGAAAUUUACGAAAAUACCCUAACCCUAACCACUGGUUAACCGGUGGUUAAUUGGCCUAAUCGAAAAACCGGUCAGUCAGAACCGGUUAACCGGUUUUUAAACCUUACACGACACCAAUAUGACCCAUGACUAAUUUUUUUAAUACGGAAAUGACACUCAUAUCUAAGGCUGUCAACGGGUCCGGGUCUGGGACCAAUUUCAGACCCGUCGAAGGGUUUAGACCCGGAUGGUCGGGUCCGGGUCCGGACUCGGUCAGUUAGUGGUCCGGGUCCAGAUUAGCCAGACCCGGCUGGAUCCGUUCCCGGCUAUUUUUAAUGUUAGAAAAAAUAUAUAUUAACAUUUUAGUAAGUUAGGGGUUUAAAUAUAAAUAUUUUAAUAUAUAUUGUAUAAUAUAUUAGUAACUUAAGGGUUUAAUAUAAAUACACCAAUAUUUGUUUAUUAUGUUUAUUUAUUUUACUAAAAUUUAUUAACUAUUUUUAUAUUCUUAAUUAUUUAUUGUUUCUUAGGUAAAAAAAAAUUUAUUUUUUAGACCCGGACUAGACCCGGAUUUUUUAUGGGUCUGGUCCGGGUCUAGACAAUUUAGCACUGGACCUGGACCCGGCCCAGACCCGAGCCAAGUUCAUGGGUCCGGGUCCAGCUCAGUCGUCCCAGACCCGGCCCAUUUACAGCCUUACUCAUAUCUUAGUAAAGAAAUUCAAAUAAGCAGAAAAAUAUAUUAAUAAAAAUAUUCAAAUUUAGUGUCUUAUAAUCGUGUCGUGUCGUAUACUCGUAUCAAGUUACAUUGUGUAUUUGUGUAGUGUUUCCAGAGGCAAACAUUCCAAGGAAUGGUGGAAAAUUUCCACUUGACGAUCACUCUAAUUUCUUAGUAACUCUUUCGAUCUCUUGGAAGUCGAAGUGUCGUCAAAUGAAUAACCUAGUCUUCUUUUGGGGGCUUCCUCUCUUGGAUUUGGUCGAUAAUGGGCCUGGAUCCAGUUGAUUGACCCAAUCACCUGUCUUCAACAGGUCUUACAUGAGCAUGUGGAAAAAGAGAGGAAUUUGUCUUGCAAAUUACCCAAAUAAUGAUCUAAGGGAACUAUUCAUGUCCCAUAUGGCUUGCUCCCCAAAAUUCCUAUCGGCUAACCCUAAAUAAGUGACUUAAUUUACCUAAUGUGUUCAAUGGGUUUGGCUUCAAUGAGAGCCGACUCAACAGUUUUUAUACAGAUACUUUUCUUAAAACAUUGUGAGGUAAGAGUAGGAUUGGACAUACAGAUUGUGUGUGUAAAAUCUCAUGUAUACUUUGAUUUUAAAAAUUAAUGAUAAAUUUUCUACUUUUUACAAAAACUUCAUAGUUCAUAGUGCUAUGUUGAAAAUUGAGAUACAAUGAAGCAUUCAUAUUAGUGAUAUGAUAAUUUGUUGGUAUUUUAUGUAAUUAUUUAAUAGUUGUAGACUUGUAGUUAACUAAUGUUUCUAGAAACUUCUAUGAUUAAGGUCUAACAAAUCAGUUAGCAUGAUUCUGUUAGACCUCAAUCCCCCGAAACUCCGAAAGUGUAUAUAAUCUAAUUAAUGACAUUUUAGGAGGGAGUAAUCACUUGAUCUCUCCCAUUUCCCAAGAUUGCAUUCUGUUCAUAACAUCCAUAAUUCACAAUUAAUAUGUUAACAUCCCUUCUUUAUUUCAUGAUAGUUCUACAUGUUAUAUUUUUAUUUAUUCAUCAUCCUUUUGUAUUUUAUUCAGCGUAUCAGCAGAUGUAGAUGUUUCGGAAGAUGAGGAUGAUGACAAGGAUGAAAAGGGUGAAUUCAAUAAUAGUUUCAUAGAUGAUAGAAGUAACCCUAGUGAAGCAAGUGCACAUGAAGAAAAUAGUAUUGAUAUGAUGGCAUUUUACAGGUCAAAGAUGAUUCUCUCUUAUUUAUAGAAUAAAUUCAUUCAAUAUUCCAUUACGUCUGAUAACAUUUAAAAUCUGAUUCAUAAGUCCUCAUUAUUAAAAACAUUCAUUUAUAUGAAACCAGUAAAAUUUAAACAAUUAAAAAAAAUAAAAAAAAUUAACAGGUAAUUGAAAGGAAAAUUCUAAGACGUGAGAAUUAUCUAAUUUCAGUUUUUUCACUUUAGUUUUAGACGAUAAAAAAUAUUUUAAAAGAAUUUUCACCAUCUCAAAUUACCAAUGACGAAGUUAUCAAAGAUUCAAAAUUGGUUUUCUGCCCUACGAUGAGUUUCCUACUCAUGUUGGCCCCUACUCUGAACAGCAAAGGAUUCAGAGAGCCCACUUGCUUGGAAGAAGGUGGGUGUGGGUUCUGCUUUGAUCAAGAAAAAUUACGAAGCUCAUGCCAACAGAAUAGAGGCUAAAGGUCCUUAUUGGUUUGAUGGCAGUUUGCUUGUUGUGAAGAAAUGAAGCUCUAAGACUGCUGUGUUAUUAUAGUUGUAACCAGUGGAACAUAGUUCCACUACCUGGACAGGGUCUAAAAUAUGUGAUGUAGGACAGGGAUCCUUUAAUUGUGCUCCCACAUAAUGCAGGAGCACAAUUGGGGACAAUUACCACAUAUGUGAUGAGCACAAUUACCAUUAAUUAAGUAGGCAGACUCAUCUCAAGGGUUGAAUACAAUAAUAAAUUAAAGGAGGGCAUAAGUUAUCUAAUAAAGUUCUACAGGACAAUCUCAAGGCUAAUGGGAUGGGUAUAAAUAACUGAUGUAGGGAGAAUCUCUGAAAACGUGAAGAGAAGAAAUGGAAGAAGGAAGCUUCUUCAAGGUAGGGGGUGAAUACUUGGAAUCCACCAAGGUUUAGAUCUAGAUCUAGGAAAAGAGAAUAAGAACAGUGAAGAAUAAAAGAAGAACAGUGAGUAUUCGUGAGAGAGAAGAUCAAAGGAUUAAUACCUGAUUUGCACAAUAUUCAAGAAUGAUCCUCAACCUUGUUGGGCCCAUUAUAUUUAUACUCACAUCAAUGAUAAUGGGCAGCCCAAUUGAUGUGAGUUAAUAAUUUCUUAAAAGGAAUGUGAAUUGACUUGACCUUGGUCAAGCCAAUUAUAGCCCAUUUGGGGACUCCCGGAUCCACUUGUAAGAGAUUUCUAAUACUUUGUAAAUGCAAUAAGAAUGGAGUCUUCUACUGCAUCAGUAAGAUUAAAGGAGGCCCGAUUAGACAUUAUUCUCUACUUUUUUGAAGAUACUCUCUUUCUCUUCUCCCACUUUACUGUUCUAUUGCUUUUCUUCUCAUUUCCUUCUCAGAUCCAGUGGAUUCUAGAUCAAUCAUCCACUGGUGGAAUCUAAUAACCUAUCUUAUUUUUUAGUCGAUUUUAAUCAGUAGUUGAUCUUCAUCAGAUCAACUACAUCAAUAUGGUGGGCAUGUGGUGUCAAACUACAUGAGCAGUUCUUUCACACUAUCAACUUAGGAAAAUACAUCGUGGAGUUUGGUUAUAGUUGGGUUGGAUUCCUAAAAUAACAAAUUCUAGAUUAUUUAAGGAUAUUUAAUGAACAAGGCUAUUUAAUAUAUUAUAGCUCUAACAAUGUGGGAUACCAGUUUGUCCUUCAAGCAUGAAAUCCACAGGAAAAGAAGUAAUUUUCAAGUCGAAGAUAAUGUGCUAAAUUGUGUGGGAUACCUGCUUUCUGAAUACUGAGGCAACUUUCUUACUUAUUUAUAACUAGGAAUAUAUACUGUAUAGAUUAGGGAAGUUUAUUUUUAACUCUGGAUUUCUUAUUCUAUUUAAAGGAAUUUUCUUUUGUAACAAAAGAAUAAUGUGGAGAGUUGUGGGUGAGAUUGAAAGGUAUCCAUGAUUUGCAGACACUAGUGCAAACAUGUUAGGAGUUAUGACUUAGGAGUGUUUUCUUCCAAAUGGGGAUCCUUUUCACCAGAUAUUUGGGAAGUGCUCUGAAUUUCUUAGUUGCGUAAGAAUCUAUUAUUCUGGUUUCAGACAUGUAAGAUGUUAUAGAUUUCUUCGGGAUAUAGAGUAAAGUUAUUAGCUGGUGUUAAUUUGCUAGACCUUAUGAGGACUGCUAUCUUGGUCUUGCAAGCAUGGAGAAUAAUGUCAUCUGAGAGCUUCUUAUGGACUUCAUGGAUGAAAAAAUAUAUAAAAGAUAGGUUAUUUAUAGAAAUAUAAGCAAGGCAGCUUGAUUUUCUUAUGUAAGCAGAAAUGGUCGUUGGCAGAGAGACAAUUUUAAAAUGCGUUAACCUAAAAUCAUCAUAAUGGCUGAGAGUGGAAGAAAGGCAUACCUUGUCUAAUUUAGACAAUAAGAGAAUCAAUGUUUUCAAAUUUCAAUACAAACUAUGCAGCUACAUACUGGUAAUCGGCAUGCAGCUGCAUGCAUUCAAGUAUUUGCCCUUUUUAGUUUUUUUUUUAAAUCAGUAAAAAUCAUAUUAAAUUAGUAUAAAUCAGUAAAAAUACUUUUAAAUUAAGGAAACAUAUAAAUUGCAUGAAUGACAUGAAUACGCAUUGAGCAAGUACAUAAAAUGUUAAAAGUAUAUAUUUAAUACAGUCGUUGAAUUUUUUCCAACAAUUAUAUUUAAUAACUAAUAUAGGCUAUAUAGCUUGUUAGACUUAUGGGCUUUUAAGCUUGUGGCCUCUUAAAAUAUAAAAAAUUAAUUUGGGCCUGAAUUUUUUUGUGACAGAAAUAUGUGCCCCCCAUUAUGCCGACAUUUUGGCCACAUAGUUUGCCGACAUUAGUUGAGGCCGCAUUAUGCGACCUCAACUUCAAAUCGCACUAGCUGCUGCACUAUGCGAUAUGCAGCCGUUUCAAAACAAUGAAGGAAAAUCUGUUGGAGAAAUAUCAGACUUAUGUGACAUAAGAGAUAUAAGGAGAUGAAGACUGCAAUUCAGUCAAGUCCAAUUGAUGCUAAAUUUGAUGUAACUUAAUUGAAAGAACUUAAUUGAAGACAAUUGAAGGAACUUAAUUGAAAGAAAAUCAACUGGAUUCCCACCAGUGAGUGGUAGAUCUGGAAUCUACUAGAUCUGAAGAAGAGUAACAAAAGAUAAAUAAAGAAGAACAGAGAAUCAAGAAAGAGAAUUCCUUGAUCAAAGAUGUAAAAAGGAUUUACCACUCGUCCCCCCUUUAUCUCAUCUCAAUAGGGUGGGGGACUACCUUUGAGAUGAGCCUACAAUCCUAGUUAAGAGUAAUUGUGCUCUCAUCCAUUAACCCUUAGCCAUUUAUGCUAUAUCAGAUUUUAUCUGUAUUUGGGUCUAGUGAAGGUAUGAUUUUAUCUUUGUUUUUAUUCUUAAUGAUUUUCUUCUUCUAAUCAUGAUAGAAUGAUGAAUUAUUUUUGUUAAUAUUUUUUAAUUGAAUCAUUUUCUUUGGAUGAUUGGAAAUUGGAAUGAUAUUCAAGGAUGAAAUAUUUUUCAGGCGUUCUUUGCUUACACAAUCACCAUUGGAAACUCCAUCUUAUCCAAUUUCAUCCAGUCAUGAAGAAAUUACAUCUACAAGGAGUGAGAAAACUGAUCCAUGUUUGCCAGACGAAAUUAAUAAUUCUAUACUAAUUUCAAGAGAUGAAAUGAACCAUAGUGCUAAACCUACUUCUGGAUAUUCUACAGAACGGAUUACUUCAUUUGAAUUAGUAGGUGAAGCUAUUGAAGCUCAAGAUGACUGGAGUGUAAUAGGGAGUAAGAAAAGGAAAUUAUUUCAUCAGUGUCCUGAAACAGGGCUUGUGGCUAAAAUGCAACCCAGGGAUUUAUUUCAAUCAAACAAUUCAACCACCAGUAGUGUGCCAACUCAUACAUCAACCGAUUUAUCUUGUGAUGAUGAUUUCUUUGAAAAUAUUGAUCUAGAUGCUUUGGAGGCUCAAGCUAUUGAACUUUUGAAAAAUAAACCAAAAGCCAAUGAAUUGCCUGCUUGUAAUCCCGUUAGUUUUCCAUCAUUUGAUCUGGGAUUAUGAUCAUUUAUCAUUGAGCAUUUUGUUCCGUCACUUCUAGUAAUAUUCUACGCUGUUUGGUACUUUGGUUUAAGAUAAACUUAUCACAUUCAGGCAGUCAGUGUUUAAAGCGAUGCUCAAUAGAGUAGAGCCUAGUGUCUACUUAGAUUAUUGUACAUAUGUGCUCAAUCAGCUAUUGUGGAGAGCACUUACUGGUUUUGGAAUAUAUAUAUAUUGUAUUUUAUGUUGUCUUAGUUGCCUAGAUUUAGAGAAAGGUGGACAGCCACUUAUAUAUACAAUUGUACAUUCUUAAUUUAAAAAAUCCAUUAAUUGUUGGCUUGAAAAAUUCAAAUGGUUUAAUAUAUUUUACAUUUUUUGAUAAAUCAGUAAUAUUUCCUUAUCUAAGAAUUAUUCUUGUAUUCAUUCCAAUUUCCAAGUUUACUAUUAUUCAAGGGAUUUUUUGUUUUAAGUGUCUUUGUGAAAAAAAUUAUUUUAUUUGCAUAGUAUGCCUUUAAAGAUUAAAUUGAUUGUGAUUUUUUACUGGUUUAAUCAAAUCAAGCAACCUUCCACUUCUUAACAUCGUGACAUUGGGUAAUUUAAAGAGUUCAUGUAUAUGGGCUUGUAUAUCUGACAGAUUUAGCUCGAAUAUCUUGGUAUUCGGAUAAUCUCUGAAUAAUAUUUGGAUAAAAAAAUUCAAAUCUAAAUUCGGAUAAGUUUUUAUAAAAACCUCUAAGAAACCCUAAAAUAAAAUUAUAAAAGUAUAAAAUCACUUUUGAUAAAGUUAAUUUAUAGUCAAUUAAUCACCUUAAAAUCCUAAAUAAUAAUAUAUGUUAGUUAAGUUUAUAAAUAACAAUUAUUAAUUACUAAUAAUAAUAUUAUUAUAUAUUUAGGAUGCAUUUUCUUUAAAUUAAUUAAAUUUUAUUAAAAAAAUAUGGGUAUUGCCCAAGUUACAUAAAGUAGCGUAAUAAAAACAGAAAUAAAAAAAGAGAGCAAAGAAAGCUCACUGUCUCUCUCUCAUUAGUUAUGUUGUCUAAUUAUAAAGUAAUUAGAUACGUUGCCUCAAGAGAUUGAUCUCUCAUACUUUUAUCACAGAUGUCUCUAAAGGGCGACAACAGUUUUUCUUGUAACACUCCGAAUCAAAGGAGAGACUAAUGUCUUUAAUGAUCUCAUUAAAGACUAUCUCAGGAUACCUACUAACAUGUUGUCUGUAUCUUUUAUUUCUUUUCGUUCAUAUAUGUCACGACAAACAUCCAAUAGUAUUUCAUAGCCCCAAGGGAGAGAGUGAUGCGUAAUUUUUUACGAAGCCUACGUCAGAUUCCCCAAUCUAAUAUUUGGACUAGAUUGGGUGAACUAGAAUAUUUAUUAUUUUUCAGAAGACGAGAUUCAGGUACUCGACCAACGGAAUUAAAAGAGAUUUGAAAUAAAAACAUUUGAAGAAAAGAUAACUUCUAGUUUCAUCUUUCAGAUUGCAUAACAAGCAAGCAUGAAAUACUUGUACUUUCCAAUUUUUUAAUUUCUUGAACGUGUUUAGGUGAUCCCAUUUCACCUUCCAUAAGAGAAUACAAAAUUUGAGGUUGUUUGAGGUUGUUUUAAUAUUGGUUGUAGUAGUGAUAAUAGGUAGGUCUUUAACCCCUAGACCUCCUUCCGCCUUGGGAAGGACCAUUUGGGCCUAUGGGAUCCCUUUCUUUCCAUUCCAUAUAAAUUUAUAUGCUAACCUUCUCACAUUCUUAGCUACAGAAUCAGGGAUAGUCAUACCUUGUGCCCAAUAGGUUGUAUAUUUUUCAACUAUUAUCCAGUUAACUAGUUGUAUUCUCCCUCCAUAGGAAAGACAUUUUCCACUCCAUCUUGCUAAAAGCGCCUCGAUUGACUGGAUUAGUUUUCAACAUUUCCAAAUGACUUCUUUUCCGUGAUUGGUAGUCUCAGAUAUGAUAUGGGUAAACUUUCAUGCAAAGAUUGGUCUUCUGUACAUACUUUCGAGAAGGUGGAAGAGCUCUUGUUCGCAUUUACUUCUAAUCUCGAAAAUUCUCAAACAGUGCCUUAAUUGCAUUAAUCGAUUUAGGGCGCACUUGGUACGUGGAUGCCCUAUAUGCACCGUUGCUCUAGACAUCAUUGGAUUUGCUUGAGUUUGUUACCACCAUCCGUAAUUAUGCACUGACAUAUGAACUGUAGAAGAUAAUAUUCUUUGGUGUAUGUUAUUGUACGACAUGAUGUAUCUAGUGGGUAGAAGAAUGUAUCAGUACCCAAUUAAUUGUUGUUGUCCCAAUUUUGUUCAACCUUUGUUUUGUGUCAGAAACACAAUGUUUCAAAAAUAUUUUAAAAUUUUCCGCACAAACCAUACGACACAACUAUUCACGAACCUGAUUUUUUCUUCCCUUUCCACGCGUCCAUUCCAAAACCCAUCUAGGUAUUUAUCAAUUCUAUAUCUAGGUCUCGCCUUCCAUUUUUUGUGCAUCUUUCCGACAUUCGCGAACCCAAUUCUGUAGUUUGUAUCUUCCUAAGGCAGGCUUGAUCGUUUGAUCUUGAAGUUGUUCUACCAAAGUGUAAGUGAAAAAAUGUACAUCGUUUCUAAUUUUUUUUAUUUUUUUUCGAAUAUAGACUUUGAAUCGUUCAGUACGUCGUCAUUUUUAUUUCAGAUGUAGAGUUCUAUUGAAGUUGUAGUAUUUAGUAUUUUUUUCUGUCACUUUUUUCUAGUAUGUUCUUAGUAUUAUGUAUUUUUAUAUAAAAGAAUUCUUGGUUUUUAUUGUAAUGUCUAAAAGUCUGUUUUGUUGUGGUUUAAAAGUCUAAUAAUUUGACGAAGUUCGCUGUUAUGGAUUUUAUUGGACAAUAUUGGUUGUAUUGACUGAUGAAUAUGUAAAGUAUGUGUUGAUAUUGAAAUCUUUGUUUCAAUGAAGUAGUGAAUACUUAAUAUGUAUGAUAUUUGUAGUUACUGAUUAUUUAUUUCUAUUAUUAAAAGUAAUUUAAUUUUAGAGAUUGAAAACUUACAUGUGUAGAUUUAUAUUUUAUUGAAAUCAUAAAGCAAUUUUUAGUGUUAUUUGUUUGUAUUGCUUUUUCUAAUAUGUUAUGUAUUUGUUUAAUUUUUUUGUAAUCCAUCAUUAAAUACAUGUUGUACUGUGAUUGUUUGUUUCUUAUGAAUAUGAAAUUUUAAGAACAAGUAAUUGACUAUACCAACUUUAAUUGAUUAGGACUAUGAAUACUAUCGAAAUGAUUACUUAAUAUGUCUACUAUUAGGAUUAUAUGAUUAGUUUUAAUCAUUACUAUGUAUUCUGUCGAAAUCGUAGUAUCACUAUUGCUGACACGGGACUGUACACCAGUCCCUCCCGUCAACAGAGACUUGGUUUCUGUUCGCUUUAUGUCGGACCCCUAAAAGACGGCUCCCGUGAAAGCGAAAUUAAAGUCUUCGGCGAGACCCGAGUCAACUCUCCAAAUUGUCGAUUGGGGUGGGAAAUCGUCAAGUUGAGGAGAAGAUCGCCAAAGCCAUGGCUCCAAUUACGGAAAGCAAGAGAGUCGUUGCUUCUGCCGCCGCCCCUGAGGCGGCAACUGGCAGCAACAAGAUGGAUUACAACACGGUUCGUGGAAGACCUUCGUCGGAAGUUGGCUGGCAAUCUAGCCGCCAGCAGUCCGAUCGAAUUCCUGAGAAUCAAAAGCGCUCCUUUUCGAGAGGACCUUUUGAAGGUGUCUUUUCCACCAACCUGGCGGGUACCCAGGGUAGAAGCGUAUGAUGGUUUGGGUGAUCCAAGAGAUCAUAUCAACCUCUACCUUAGUGUCUUGGAACCGCAAACCACCGAUAACGCGCUGUUGUAUCGGGCAUUCCCCGACACUCUCAAGGGCAGCGCCUAUCAGUGUUUUUCCGGUCUGCCAGCUGGAUCAAUCUCCAACUUUGCGGACCUCUCAUCCAAAUUCAUCGCCCAACAUGUGGGGAUGAUUAGGAUCAAACAUAGUGCCAACGCAUUGCUGGCACUACGACAGAACAAGCUGUCGUUAAGGGAUUACACUAUUAAGUUCACUUCAAUGAUGACAGAAGUGAGCGACUUAAUCCCGAGUCUGGCCAUAGCGGGAUACAUGAAUGGGCUAGUACCCUACUACCCUUUGGCCCAACAUCUCACUCUCCAUAAAGUGGAGACUCUACCUGACCUCUUCUAGCGAGUCCAAUCGUUUAUUGAGGUGGAAGAGCAGAAUGAGAAUAAGCUAGUGGAACUUGAGAACACUAGCUUCAAAAAACCAAAGUUCGAGAAAAAGAGUUACGGCGGAAAAAAAGAGUUUCCGAGGCUCUUCGAACAAAUACACUGACAAUGCGGCUAAUUCCUACAAAAAGGAAUGGAAGCCCAAACACGAUAAUAAAGUGUAUCAAACAACCACUAAACAGUCGCCAAAGAGUCAAUCCCAACCAUGGAAGGAUUGGACCCCUCUGACAAUCAAUAAAGGCGAACUGUUUGACAAACUGAAGAACCGGGCAGAUCUACCUCCCGCCUGUUCUUUGGACCCUGCAACAAAAAGUAGUCAUAAAAAGGGUGGAAGGUUUUGUAAAUUUCACAAGGACCACGGUCACCUUACGGACCACUGCAGGGAGUUCUCGAUCUAUGUCGAAUAACUGGUCUCAAAGGGUGAACUUGGCAACUUCGUCAAGGGAUCCCGAGGACGAGACGGUUGCAAAUCUGACCCGAAGGGGAAGCGACCACGCUCUCCUUCGCCGGACAGCGACAGUAGCGAGGACCGCCAGGGGAAAACCAUCAAUAUGAUAUUUGGUGGCGGAUCCGUUGGUCAGAAUAGGGGAUACUCCCGGAAGGUGCUGAUGUCACAGUCAACACCUCGCGACAAUGGGAAACGGGCUCGGGAAGAGAAGUCAACAUAAUUCUCCGAAGAGGACCUGGACGAUGUCCUGCUGCCCUACGAGGAUCCACUCGUGAUCCAAGCAGACAUCGGUCCGACUUCCCGUAUCUAGAAGAUGAUUGUCGACAGCGGCAAUUCCGCGGACAUCCUUUACAUGGACACCUUCAUCAAAAUGGGCCUUAAAAAGGAGAAUCUGUCUCCUUGCAAGGAAGCCAUUUAUGGGUUUACUAACGUCGCCGCCCCAGUGGCCGGCGUUAUCGACCUGAAGGUCUCCAUCGGAUCCCGAAAAGGGAGGGUUAGUCGAAUAUGCCGUUUUAUAGUGGUAGAGGUAGAAUCCACUUUUCACGGCAUCUUUCGACUACCCUUCAUCCAUGGAAUCAAAGCUGUCCCAUCCUCUUAUCACCAAUGCAUAUGAUACCCAAUCAACGGGUUCAUUGCAACUGUUAAAGGAUCACAAAAGGAUUCUAGACAAGUGAUGAAGCACUGAAUCUGCUACCAGGGCUCGCGGUGGUGCGAGGUUGAUGCCGGAGGCUUUGGAGUCCACGACGCACGCUCUACGUCAAAUACCUGCAAGUGGAAACUAGGCGAUUCUAAUGAGACUCGCCGAGUUUCGUAGUGGUGCUCUGGUGUGAGAGUGGAACUUGAAUCGUGCCUUUGAGUGUCCCUUUGGGACCCUUUUUAUAGGGUCUCGGAGGGCGCACUCAACGGCGGAGAUCGCGCCUAUGGUCAUAUAUGGUAACAUUUAUGACGUUGGCUGCCGCCGAGUAACGGUCGUAAGUCGCCGAUUCAGGUAUGGAAGUCGCCUAGUUAGGGCUUAACUCGGCGAGUUUCUAGGGCCAAGAUGUGCAGUCUACCAUACUGUCGAUCUUGCCUUAACUCGGCGAGUUGUCCCGUAUGUCGGCGACUUGGUAGUCCAAUCGGGCUACUUACGGGCUAACUCGGCGAUCUGGACGAUGAACGUGUUCCGCACCGUGGGAGCUCUCCGGGGGUCCUGCCAUAGCGACGGAGCCCUAGUCCUUGUUGAAAGACGUUGCUGGGUAGUGACUGGUGUAAUCAGACAUGUCUCACCAGUACUCCCCCUGAAGAGAGCACAAGAAACAUGGUGUAUCACCAGUACCCCCCCCCCCCAUCAACCAAGGUUCAAUGUGUGUGAUCCAACAUCAAGGCCAAAGCGACAAGAUGAGAUCGAACCAUCCGCCCACAGUGACGUAAUGAUUCAGAAUCCAUAGGCCAAAGCGUCAAGAAUGGAUCGAGUUCCAGGCCACGGUAACUCAUGUUUAUAGUCCUUCCCUGAUCAGGGGCGACUGCACUGUGUUAUCGAGGCCGAAGCGACAAGAUAAAUUCCGGCCAAAGCGACAGAAUCGAUUAAGGCUUUUUAGCGACAGAAUCGGGUUCUUGCCAGAGCGAUAGAACCAAGUUCUAGCCGAAGCGAUAGAACUAAUGUUUAUAGUCCACUCUGAUCAAGAGCGACUUAAAAUCCGCAAUGACGGCCCCCUUCAAGGCUUUUUAGCGACAAGAUGGGUUGAGAUCGUUAAGGCCAAAGAGACAGAACGAUCUCUAGUGUAUCAAGGCAGAAUGCGACAAUAUACUUGGACUCAUUACACUACAAGAAAACUGGGAAACAGCUACGGCCAAGUUCAUUGGCUAAAUGGCAAAAUCCGUGGCUAAAUUGAUUUAGCCACGGGAAUUAGCCACGGGAGCUGCCGUGGCUGUAAGUCUGGUGGCUACUGUUUUUUGGCCACGGAAAUGGUUUUCCGUGGCUAAAUAUUAGCCACGGCCAUUUAUUUUAGCCACGGCCAAAAUCCGUGGCUAAUGUUAAAAAUUAGCCACGGCAUAAUUCAGUGGCUAAAUCGUGGUCCUUCACUUUCAACUCUGUUUCAAGGAUUUAGCCACGGCCAGUUAAGGAUUAGCCACGGUCAAAAUCCGUUGCUAAUCCUUAACUGGCCGUGGCUAAAUCCUUGAAACAGAGUUGAAAGUGAAGGGCCACGGCCAAAAUCCGUGGCUAAAUGCCAAAAGGCCGUGGCUAAUUUCUAAAAUAUUUAUAGGAAAUAUUUACAUUUUAGAAGACGCCUAUUGAAGGUCUUACACAUUCAUAUAACCUGAAAAAAUCAAUGAAACAUAUAUUUACAUUCAUAUUCCAUUCAUACACAUUCCAUUCAUACACAAAUAUCCCUCAAAAUUAUCCAAAACAUUCAUUACAUUAUAUCCCAUACCUAUAACCAAACAUACCAUUCCAAAACAUUCAAUAACCAAUAAAACAUAUCAUUCCAUUCCAAAACGUACCAUUCAAUUAAUAAGCAACAAAACAUACCAUUCAUACAAUUAAUGUUAUUCAAAACUAAACCAAAAGAUAAAAGAAGAGGAACCUGUUUGUUGGUGUUUGUCACGCUAUUCGUCGGACUUUUACUCGGACUUUUACUUGGACUUUUGCCAAUAUUUUCGACAUUUGAAUCUCUUAUAAUAGACGUGAUUAUGGUGUUGUGUCCUUGGCUCGACUGACCCUAAUGUAAAAAAAAAAUUGAAAUUACAAAGAAAAUAUGAAUAUUGAUUUAUAUAUAAAUGCUAAUUACCUCAAUCGUCUCUCGACGUAAGUCUUCCCUUAGUUCCUUUAGUAUAUCCGGCAUCUGUUUUCUAAUGGCCUCUUGAACUGCCCGAUCAAAGUCUUCUUUACUUUUUUGUUGUUGAAUUUCUAUAUAAUUCGUCGUUGUGUUCUGUGAAGUCGCCAUAUUAUCAGGAAUUGGUAAUGGCAUUGGAUCACUUGCUCUGGUUCCAAGCACACGACCUUUCUUUUUUCCGUCAGUAGCUUUGACCCAUAAUUCUAAAUUAUCAGGGAGUGUGUGUGAUCCAUUUGAUGAGUUGAUCUCAGAAUUUUCUGCUUCCAUAGCAUUUCUUUGAAGCUCAUUAUAGUCAGCCUAUAAAAAUGAAAAUCAAUAAUAAAUAAAAAAUAUGACUUAAAUAUCUUAAAACGAAGCAUUUCUAACGAAUUUUCUUACAAUGAAGCAUCCUCCCUUUGGAUGGGCCCAGUCGUUUGUCUUAGCCAAACUAUGUGUUUUUUUAUAAACCUCACAGUGACCGACUUCAUAACCAGCUUCUUCAUUCUGAUUGUUAUACUCAAAAAAAUUAGAAUGAUAAAUGUAAAAUAUAUGAAAGAAAUGUUUUUUACCAUUCUUUCAUGAGUGGCCGCAACUGAACAAGAUCCACCCGUGUAUGGCAUGUAAUCUGGAUUGUUUGUCCUAUUUUCUGAUGCUUUUUCGGAUCUUUUUUUCCAAUCUUCUUUUAACCAAAUUUUUAUCAUUUCACUCCAUACUUCCGCAGAAAGGUAUAUCGGUGGAAAUCUAGCGCAAGAUCUGGUUAGUGUGUCAACUUUUGCCAAUUUCUUUGCCUCUUAUCUCGCUUUAUACAACCAACAUGUAUAAUUUAGUUGUACAUAAUUAUCAAAACAUUCACGAGCCAAUUGAAUGUCCUCAAAUGAGAAAUAGCACUACAUAAAGACAAAAACAUUACAUAUGGAAAAAAAUGACAUAUGGAAAAAAUGACAAGUAAAUAAAUAAGUCAUACCAGAAAUUUGACGAAAAUAUUUUUCUUUUCCUCUUCUUUCCAAGAAGUCCAUUUAGUUAAAGGUGACGUUAUAUUACCUUUUACUUAUAUUCCUAUUUGACUUCUUACAUUGUUUGUAAAAGUCCUAUAAAAAACAAUCAAAUUAAAUAAUAUAAUAUAAUGAAUUAUAAUGAAAACACUCACCCGCUCUUAACAAUAGUGGCGGGAGUUGGUGCAUCCGGUUGCCUCAAUCCUUUUGUCCAUUUUUUUCGAUGUUCUUCAUCGAAGCGGUCCUCUACGAUUUCUUGAUCUAUUCUUGCAGGUUGUGAUCGUCUGUCGUUUGUUCGUUUACGACUUCGUCCGCGUGCCAUUUUCUAAUGGAAUAUUUUCUAAAGGAAUAAAUAAAAUGAAAUUAUUCUGCUUGAAAAAAAAAUGAAAGUAUAAAACAUAUAAGUCACUCAGGCGACUCAUAUAGAACAUUCAUCUUCAUCUUCAGAAUUGAAAUUUUCUGUUUCAUCUUCGACAUAACUCUCACUCUAGCUCUUCAUGUAAAGUGGGUUCAGGUUCGAAUGAAACAACAUCAAACGAGUCAUCCACAUUUAGAGAUACAUUAUCAAUGUUAUUUCUGUAUCACAAGUUGGUUUAACUGAAUACAGAGUAAACAGUUCACCUAAGUAUAUAUGAUCAACUCCUAAUUCCAAUUAAGCCAAAAUCUUGCCUGAUUCCUCUCGUGAUGGUAAUCGUGUAAGACAUUACACAUGCAAUGUUUUGACUAAUUUGAGUAGGUGGGAAUCGGGUCAGAUUGCAAGAACAAGAUUCCAAGAAGUCAGAUUAGGAUCAAUUAAUAGUAAUUAGUAUCGAUUUGAAAUGGGGAACAACACAAAGAACAGAAAUUGAAACUUCAAAUGGGUCUGUCGGAAAUGGGGAAUGGGUUUGACGGAAAUGGGGAAUCGGCCGGUCGGAAAUGAAGAAUGGGUCGGUUGGAAAUGGAGAAUGACUAUGUCGGAAACUCACCUCGUUUGUCGUCGGAAGUUUCCACUGGCUCGGCUAUUCUCGUCGGAAGUUUCCACUCACCUCGUUGCUCCCUCUGCUCUUCGGAUUUUAGUAUUGAGGUUGGGAUAAAUAUUUGGGGUUUUAGUUUUUAGGUUUUAAUUUUUUUAAUUUAAAAGUUCCAUUUAAAAUAUUCAUUUAAACUUAGUUUAUAACUUAUCAAUUAAAGUUAGUUUGUUUGAUAUCAAAAAUAACUUUAAUUAAAAAUAACUUAGUUAAUUUUUAAUUUUAAAAUUUAAAAUUUAAAAUAUCAAAAAUAUCUUUAAUUUAUUUUUUAAUUUAAAAUAAACUUAUUUUAUAACUUUUAAAAUAUCUAAUUUAUUAAAUUGAAUUUUAGAAUUUAAAAAUUAAAAUUUAUUAAAUUAGACUAACCCUAACCUACUAAAGUUAAUAUUAGAAAUUGAUAUUUUUAUAAUUUUUAUAAUUUAAAUAAACUACUAACCCUAACCCUAACCUACUUAAUUUUAUAAUUUAAAAUAACUUGAUAUUAAAUUGAUAUUGAUAUUUAUAAUUUAAAAAUAUUAGAAAUUGAUAUUUUUAUAUUAGAAAUUUAAAUUGAUAUUAAAUUAGACUAACCCUAACCCUAACCUACUUUUAUAAUUUAAAAUAACUUUUAUAAUACUUGAAUUUGUAACGUUAAAAAUUAAAAUACCUUCUUUAAAUUUAUUUUUUAACUUUAAAAUUUAAAAUAUCUAAAAUAACUUCAAUUUAUAAUUUUUAUAAUUAUCUAAUUAUAAUCUAACUUUAAAUUUUUUAUAAUUUAUAAUAUCUAAAAAACUAUAAUAUAACUUCUUCUAACCCUAACUUCUACUUCUAACUCUUACUUUUAACCCUAAUUUCUAACCCUAACACUAUCUAAAUAUGUAUAUAUACUUAUUUUUACUAAUUUUUGUUAAUUUCUAUUAAUCCUAAUCCUAACCCUCACCCUAACCCUAAUUAUUUACAUUUACAUUAACCCUAACCCUAUUAUCAUUAUUAGCCAAGGCUAAAUGCCGUGGCUAAUAGAUAGAAAUAUCAGUGACUAAUUUAUUUGUCACUAAAUUAGCCACGGCUCCUAAAUCCAUGGCCAAAUCCGUGGCAAAAUUUCAGUGGAAAAUUAGAGGGAAAUUUUGCCGGAAAUUUUAGCCACGGAUUAGCCACGGAUUUUAACAGCCGUGGCUAAAUAUUCAAUGAAAAAUUGGAGGGAAUUUUGCUGGGAAAAUUAGCCACGGGAUUAGCCACGGCUUUUUGCAUUCGUGGCUAAAUAUAAAGAUUAGCCACGGGCUUAGCCACGGCUAAAAAAGCCGUGGCUAAUUUCUAACAAUUAGCCACGGCUUCUGCUGGCCGUGGCUAAUCCCGUGGGCGUAGCCCAGUUUUCUUGUAGCGGUGUAACGUUUUGCCAACGUUGGAGGCGUAGGAAGAGAAGAAAUCUCCCGUAGGAGCCGGAGGUUGGAGAAAGACUCUCCCUAAGGAGCCGGUGGUUGCAAGAAAUGGAGUUGGAAUUCCCAAAUAUUCGAUGAUCGUAGAUAUCGAUCCUCUUCAUUAUUUAUAAGCUUGUUUGUUACUAAUAUCUUGCCUAGUGGCUUACAUUUGUUAUGGACUACUAACUACAAUUAGUUACAACUCAUACUCAUAAUCUUGGUGGCGCGUGCUCUGCCUGACUCGGCUGGGUCGGGUGCGAGCUCCUUCGUUGUUCGGUUGAGUCUGCUUUUCGUUAAUGGGUUCAUUAAUUCCCAACUCUUCCCUGAGCUUCUGUACUACUCUCUCUAAGUUUAACUCAACUGUAACACUCCCACCUCCAUCCCGAGCAAUCUUGUCCUCAAGAUUAGUGGUCGCCGAUAUCUCCUUUAUGAACUCGAUGUCCUCCCAAGAUUUAUUUUCGGAUGGCAGUCCCGCCCACUCUACAAGGACCUGCUUGAUCUCCCUGCCGUGCUGUUUAAUAAUGCGAUAUGCAACUACUUUGGACGGGCAUACUACCGGGUGCGCUUCUGUUGCUAGCGGGGGUAGUGGGCUGACGAUAUUUUCCGGCGGUGUCCCUUGGAACGGUUUUAAUAACGCUAUAUGAAACACUGGAAAUAUUAAGCUUCCCGUGGGUAGUUUCAAUCGAUAUGCUACUUUGCUUAUUUUCUUUUCAAUCUGAAAUGGUCCAUAGAAUCGUUUGGAUAGCUUUUGGCAUGAUUGCCGGUUGACGGAGCUCUGCCUGUAUGGUUGUAAUUUCAACCAUACCCAUUGACCUUCCUCAAACUCGAACAUUCGUCUCUUUAAAUCCGCGUAUUUCUUCAUUCUCUCUUGUGCCGCCUGCAGAUUGAUUUUUAGUUCCCGUAACAGGGCAUCGCGUUGGUUUAACAAUACGUCUACUGCCUCGACGUUUGAAUCUCCGGCCCGGUAAUUCAUAAUGUCCGGCGGUUCCCUCCCGUACACGGCCUGAAAUGGGGUCAUGCCUAUGCUAUGGUGGUAUGACGUAUUAUACCACAGCUCGGCCCAUGCUAGUAGCUCCACCCAAUUCCUUUGAUUGUCAUGAAUGGUCGCCCUUAGGUAGUGUUCGAUUGUUUUGUUCACCACCUCCGUCUGUCCGUCCGUCUCCGGAUGAUAGGCAGUUGACAUUUUCAAGGUAGUUCCACUCCUUGUAAAGAUUUCUUUCCAAAAUUUGCUAAGGAAGACUUUGUCACGGUCGGAGACGAUUGACCUCGGAAUGCCAUGGAGUUUUACUAUGUGUUUGAUGAAAUACUCCGCUACCGAUUUUGCCGAGUAGUCGGCGGUUAAAUUCCCCAGGUGGCAGUAUUUGGUCAGCCUGUCGACCACGACGAUGAUGACCGUAUGACCCCGUACCGCCGGCAGUCCCGUAACGAAAUCCAUGCUUACGUCUUCCCAAAUUGCCGUUGGAAUCGGUAGGGGUUGAAGUAGUCCCAUUGGUUUCACGGCCAUGGACUUAAUUUGCUGGCAAAUUAGGCAUCGUGCUACAAAUUCUCGUAUGAAUUUGUUCAUUCCUAUCCACGAAAAACUCUGCCGGACUCGUUGGAGAGUGCGAUAAAAUCCCGAAUGUCCUCCACUUUUGGAGCCGUGUAACUCCUCGAGUACCUUUGUUCUCAACUCUGAUGUGGGCCCCAAGCAUAAUUUGUUAUGAUGGUAUAAGAUACCACCCUUAAUUGAGUAGUUUAGAUCAGCAUUAUUUGGGCCCUCGAUUCCAUUCUCGAUUUCACUCUUUUUCUUUACUAUCCAAGGAUCCGAUUCGUUUUCUUCACGGACCCGACUGCCCCAAUCUGUCAUAACCGAGCUGGUUAAUAUUGUGAGUUGGCCGUGUUCCGUUUCUAGCUCUAUUGCCGGCGACCGUGAAAGAGCAUCGGCUACGACAUUGUCUUUCCCUUUUUUAUAAAUGAUUUUGAACGUGAAUCCCAAUAGCCGUGUAAGAAAAUAUUGCUGUUCCGGCGACUGAAUUGAUCGAGCUAAUAAAUUUUUUAAACUGCAGUGAUCAGUUCUAAUUGUGAAAUCGUUACCCAACAGAUAGUGUCUCCAUUUUUGUACUGCUUCCGUUAAUGCCCAAAGUUCCUUCGAGUAUGUUGACGCUCUUUGCCGUAGCCGGGAUAGCUUCUUGCUAAAAUAUGCUAUAGGAUGCUCGACUUGUAAUAGCACUGCACCAAUUCCUACGUCACAUGCAUCUGUCUCCACAACGAACGGAAUUUCAAAAUUUGGAAAUGCGAGUACCGGUGCCGUGGUUAGCGCUUGUUUUAAUUGAUUAAAUGCUUUUGUAGCCUCGUCGGUCCAUUUGAAUUUUUCUUUCCUUAGUAAGUUGGUGAGAGGUGCCGCUACUUGAGCAUAUUGCGCGACGAACUUCCGGUAAUAUCCGGUUAACCCAAGGAACGCUCGAGUCUGCCUUACGUUGGUGGGUUCCGGCCAUUCCAUAACUGCGCAUAUUUUGUUGGGGUCGGGCUUCACUCCUUCCGUGGAGAUAAUAUGACCAAGAUAGGCCAACUCUUCUAACCCAAAUUCACAUUUUGUUUCUCUGACGAAAAAAGAAUGUUGUCUCAAUAACUUGAACACCGUACUCAAAUGUUCUUUAUGAUCCUCCCUUGAUUUACUGUAAACAAGUAUAUCGUCGAAGAAGACGAUAACAAAUUUUCUCAACCAUGGUUGGAAUAACUGGUUCAUCGUUGCUUGGAAAGUGGCCGGAGCGUUUGAUAACCCAAAGGGCAUCACCGUAAAUUCGUAGUGACCCUGGUGUGUCCGGAAAGCCGAUUUUUCAAUGUCCUCGCCGGCGAUCCUGAUUUGAUGAUAACCUGCCCGGAGGUCCAAUUUUGAGAAUAUUACCGCCCCGUGGAGUUCAUCUAGUAACUCGUCCAUUGUUGGAAUUGGAAAUCUGUCUCGAAUUGUUAUUGCGUUUAAUGCUCGAUAGUCGACGCAAAAACGCCAGCUUCCAUCUUUUUUUUUUACCAAUAAUACCGGUGACGAGAAUGGACUUACGCUAUGUCUGAUCAAUCCCUGAUUUAGCAUUUCCAGUGUCAAUUUCUCAAUUUCGUUCUUUUGGUAAUGUGGGUACCGAUAUGGGUGUACAUUUACAGGUUCCGCCUCUGAUUUUAAUGAGAUGUGGUGGUUUGUUGUUCGAUCCGGUGGUAGUCCUUUGGGUUCAGACAGUACGUCUUUAAAUUCUUUUAGAAGUUCCUCCAGUUCUGGUACAUUUUUUUUUUCUGGAUUGAUAUUUUCACUUCUUAGGUGGCAGAAAUAAGCCACUUCCCUCCUAGCCACUAGCUUCUUAAGACCUGAUUUAGUAAGUUCAGAUUCAGAUAAAUGCGGAUCCCCUUGUAAUAAUAUUCGUUUGUUGCCGUUCAUAAACUCCAUUGUUAGCUCUUUGUGAUUUGUUGUAACCGCCCCUAGUUUUUCUAGCCAUUGAAUUCCCAAUACUACAUUUGCCCCCCCAUUGAUAGUACAAACAAAUCUUCGACUAUUCCCGUGUUUUGGACUGCCAUUGGAACUUGGCGGCAAACUUCCUUACAAACCAAAUACUCUCCACUCCCAAUGAAAACUCUGAAUUCCGGCAGUGAUUGUACCUCAUAUCCCAACCGAUUAACCACCGACUCUUGAAUAAAAUUGUGGGUGCUUCCACUGUCGAUUAAUACAGAAAGUGGUCGACCCUGUAUCCAGCCGGUGAGCCUGAUCGUUCGUGGAUUGAAGGUUCCCGCGAAGGCGUGUAGGCUGAUCUCGGUUGUUGUUAAUGACUCGCUUGCCCCUGACUCUGCACCCAUUUCUUCCUCCUGGUCAAAAACUUCUACCAAGCAGUCGCUGUCCACCGCCAUCCAAAACAGACGACCUUUACACCGAUGUCCCGGCGCAUAAGAUUCAUCACAAUUAAAGCACAGCCCUUUGGCUGAACGUUCUUUCCUUUCUUCUACAGUCAGCAUUUUCCUCACGAUCGGUAGUGCUUUGGUCCCGACUGGUGGGUUCUUUAGUAACGGUUCUGAAUUAAACCCCGUCGUUGAAUUUCCCCCAUAUUUCGCCGGAAUUCUGUGGGCUUCAUGCGCUUUUGCCAACGCGAAUGCUCGUCGAAGCGAUAUCGGUUUAGCCAAGUUUAAUUCGCUCUUCAAUUCCGGCUUUAGUCCGCUUAUGAAGAAACUAAUUAACGAAGCUUCAUUCUGCCCGCUCACUUCGUUCAGUAAUUCUUCAAACUUCUCCAAGUAAUUUGCUACUGAUGUUACCUGCCUGAGUUUGCACAAUUCUUGAAGUUUAUCUUCAUACACAUUGCCUCCGAACCUCUCCCUCAUAUCUUCUUUGAAACGGUCCCAGGUGGUUAAGAGAUUGUUGCGUCGAAGUCCCCUAAUCCACGAUAAUGCCGCUCGCGUCAUAUGGAAUCCUGCAAUCUGGAUGCGUGAAUCAUCAAAAAUGCCAUGGAACCCAAAAUAUUCUUCGGCUUGAUAAAUCCAGCCCUCCGGAUCCACUCCCGUGAAUUUUGGCAGGUCUAAUUUGAUUGCUCGUGUUGCUCUGUUUGCUACUGCCUCUGGAUCGGCUUGGUUCCGAUAUCCCCCCAAUGUAGCUUGUAUGUCUCUAAUCAUCCCGGCCAUUUCCGCAAUCUGCCCGGCUAAGUUUGCUAUUGAUGCAUCCUGUCGUCGUGUAACCUCCGUGAAUUUUGACGUUUGGUCCGUCAAUACGAUGCCAAUUUCCUGUCGAAUUUCGUCGAACCCAUUGUUCGAUUCCUCCGCUUCUGUCAUGUUUACCAUUGCAAUUAAUAUCAAGAAGAGAGAAAAAAAAUCAGUCACCAGUACGAUGUGCUUCCCUUUAGCGGAUCCAGUUAAGGCCUGGAACGAGCCUUGGAGAGUGACAGUUUAUAGUCGUUUUCCGACUGUGCUGCUCUACUCUUUGUGAAGCCGAUCGUCUAAUUCAUUGAAAGCACCAAUGUAACGUUUUGCCAACGUUGGAGGUGUAGGAAAAGAAGAAAUCUCCCGUAGGAGCCGGAGGUUGGAGAAAGACUCUCCCUAAGGAGCCGGUGGUUGCAAGAAAUGGAGUUGGAAUUCCCAAAUAUUCGAUGAUCGUAGAUGACGAUCCUCUUCAUUAUUUAUAAGCUUGUUUGUUACUAAUAUCUUGCCUUGUGGCUUACAUUUGUUAUGGACUACUAACCACAAUUAGUUACAACUCAUACUCAUAAUCUUGGUGGCGCGUGCUCUGCCUGACUCGGCUGGGUCGGGUGCGAGCUCCUUCGUUGUUCAGCUGAGUCUGCUUUUCGUUAAUGGGUUCCGUAUUAAUUCCCAACUCUUCCCGGAGCUUCUGUACUACUCUCUCUAAGUUUAACUCAACUGUAACAGGAAUCAAGUAACAAGGAUUUUAAUUAAGAGUUGAGAUGUUCUCUAAUAGACAGAAAACACCAGCCCUUGUCAAUUAGAUGAUCGAGGCUAUAUCAGGCGUCCCUUCUUCUUCAAGAUGAAGUGCAAGAUUUGUAUAUAAAUGGUUAUGAUGUCCAUCAAGCGUCCCUUCUUCUUUAACUUGAGCAUAUUAUUAUUGUAUGCAAAUUCUUGAGUUAAAGAGCAUUUGUGCUAUAUAGUUAAAGACCCAUUUGAGCAACAUGGAUGAACAAAUAUUAAAGAAACGAUUUAUGUGAGAUAUAGAUUUUGAGAUAUCAUCAAUUCUACCUUUAAUUUUAAAUCCAAUGAUUUACUUUUGAAAUUAUUAAAUAUAAACAGAGUAUUAUACAGAUUUUAUUAAUGUUUUAAAUGAGUGGUUGGAAAUACGACGUAGAUCACAAUGUUUUAAAUAGACUUGAAAUUCAAAUAUCUCAUUUAAACUAUUAAAAGUUGAAAAUGAUCGAUAAUUCCAGAAGCAGCACGUACAAUUAAUAUUAUAUGAAAAAAAGGUAUAUAUAUGAUAAUAUGAAAGCAACUAAAGAUCAGUAACUGGAUCAAUUAAUAAUUAACACAACCAAACUCCAUCUUCUUAAUUACAUAACUCAACUAUAAUAUAUAUAUAUAUAUAUAUAAAGAUAUUAUAAUAGUCUAAUGAGCAUGCAAUUAAUUGCUUAGCAAAGAAAAAGAUCUUCAGAAGCAACCAUUGAGAAAUUAUUGGCAGAAAAAGGAUUCCAGAAGUGAAUCAUGUCCAUGGAUUGUUGUUGUGUGAAAAGAUCGCUUGCAUACCCACUAGUAUUGUUAUUAUUAUCAGUAUUGUUAUUAUCAUUAUCAUUACAAGCAGUGGUGGUAUUGACGUAAUCAAGUAUCUCAUAAAGUGCAUGGUAUCUUGAGUUAAGUUCCAUGAUCUGAGUUCUAAGCAGAGAACUCUCAGAUUCCACCGCAUGAUACUGUUGUAUUGUCAUGUUGUGAGUGGCAUGGAUCUGUUCGUUUUCCUUUCUUAGUUGGCUCAACUGGUUCAUCAGAUCAUCCAAAUGUUUCUGCUUCCUUUGCCGAGAUCGUCUGGCGGAAUCACGAUUUGAAAGCAUUCUUUUUCUCUUCCGUUGAUCCACCACCACAGUUGAUUUUUCCAUUGAACAACACCCAGAACCAGAACCAGAACCAGAACCAGAACUGCUGUUACUGAAAUCACCACAACCCAUGCUAAUUUCUAACUAGCUAGCUAUGCAAGAAUUGAAAACAGAACGGAGAACACAUAAAACCAGUAUAGGAAAACAACCGACAAGGACUGAACUAAUUGAACUAAACUGAUCAUAGAAGACAACAAAAACUAAACACACCCGCUAGCUACUACUACUACCACCACAGAAUCAGCAUGCAUGGUCUGAAGAGAUUGAAGCCAAGGAAAGCAAGAAAGAAAGGGAAGAUGUAAUUGUGAAAAUGGGUUUUGGAUUUAUAGACGAAACAAAUUUGAAACUUGCAAAAGGGUUUAUUAAAACUAUUUUCUAUCAAGUGGGGAGGGUAGGUGUGUAAAAUUAACAUCGGUCAUCAAAUAUAAAGUUAACUUUAAAGUACUUGUGGACAAACAUAUGGGUCCCACAUUAUAACAUCAAAGAAACUGUGCAUCUUAAAGAAUAAAGAUUCCUUUUCUUCCAUAUUUUUUUCCUCCACAUUUAUAUGUGAUACACCUGAUCACUGUUCCAGUCUUGAAUUCUUAAAUGGGAAUCUCUCUGUCUUUCUGACGUUUGUGAUACAAUAAUUAAAUAUUAAAUCGAUUGCGGCUAAAUAACAUUAAAUGACAUCAGAAAUUCAGAAUUUACGAUAUUUAAAAUUGCUAAUUGCUAUAUUUUAAAAAAAAGUUUAAUGUUGAUGUCUAUAUGGAUCGAUAAUGGAUUAUGUAAAAUCAUUCAAUUUUAACUUUUCAAUUUUUAAAAUAAAAGAUCUAUUUUGAUUUCCACCUCCAUUUUGAUAUGAUUGGAUGAAAUUUAUAGAAAUCUAUUAUGAUUUUCACUAAUCCAAUUACCCCAACUUCACCUUUCUAAAACCCUUACGUAAACCCUUAUCCGGUAUUUUAUAAAAUUGUGUAUUUUUUCAUAGUAUUAUAGAAAUAGAAAGAUACUUAGUUGGUCUAGCUAGUUGGGUUUGUCUUAUUAACUAGUAUAAUUAAUAUUUAUCGUUGUAUGAAAAUCAGCUUAAUUGAUCGCAAUAACUAUUAAAAAAAUUUGAAAGUUCAGAUUCGAGUCUCUUCAUUUACAUAAUUUUUUUUAUAGAUAUACAAUUUGAGAAAGCAAAGAAUUGAAUAUGUGCAAAAUUGUGAUUCAUUUGAUAUAUGUUUUUAAUGAACAGUUGACAGUUGAACGAACAAACAAAAGGUAAUUAAUAAGUAAUGACGCCAUGUUCAUUAACAUGCGUAAAUUGAAGGAAAGUGACAUUCGGUCAAUUUAGAAAUUCAUCCCUACCCUAUAUCACUUUCCAUCAUACCUAGCUUUCUUAUUCCAUUCACAUUCUUUUUUCUUUCUUAAAAAUUUAAAAUGGAUUACCUUGUUGCCGCUUGCCGGCCAUUAUAAUUAAUUAAUUAACAACGCAAUUAAAUAUGGAAUUAUGGGGACAUCAGAGUAUUUUUUUAAGGGUUUAACUCACGUUUGGGAUUGGUGGUAUCCAUACAAUAAAAAAAAACUGUGAUGAGAUCGAGUGUCUUAGCUCAUUCUCACUCAAGUAUAAUAAGAUGGUAAUUGAAAAAUAUUUUUUUUGUUUCGUAAGCAAGAUAUUGAUUUGAAACCUAAUUUUUAUGGAAGUUUCGUGAUAAAUUAAAAUACGACGAUUCAGAAGUGCAAUGGUAUUGUGACUAGUCUCAUACUCAUACCAAUAUAAAAUAAUAUGUUGCGAGAUCUUACUAUUUCAAAAUUAGUAAAAACUUUAAUCACAAUCUUAAUUAAUGUUAAUUACAACCUCAUUUAUUAAUAGAGAUAUGUGAUAAAAUCAGUCACUUCUCUUUCGGUAGUGUAAUUGCACCGGGAAGCAACUGGCCGGAGAUGAAGGUCGUCGCUGGGUGAAGAGGAAGAAAAGGGGAAGAACUUAGGUUACCUUAGUAACAUCCUUUUGUCCAAUGUGUACGAAAAUGUAUUAACUCUGUAAAUCUUUUAUUAAUUUUAAAUGUUAAUUACAUACUUAUUUAUAAAUUUAUAGGGUCAGCUUCAGGUGAGAACCUGAAGCGUGAGAACUUUCAAUCAUUGCCCUUCAUCUACAUCCGACGGUCAUUAAUUUAAUUCAUUUUUUCUAUUAUUUGGGGGAAGAUCCUCAUGCAUAAUCUCUAUUUUGUCAUCAUUCACUAACAACAUCCUUUUGUCCAAUGUGUUUUGUCACCAUUCACAUCUACUUUUCUCACCUACUUUCCACCUACUUUUCACUUUUACCCUUCUCUCUUACUCACGUUUCCUCCCUUUCCUUCAUCCCCUUCUUAAACCCUAUUUCCUCACAUUCCUUACCUCUAGUCUCUUUUAACAUUUCUAACCUUCUUUAUAUCCUCUAAAAAAAUGGUCAUCGGAUCUCCCCACAUAUCUGCCCAGGUAUGUUGUUCGUUUUUUCCCCCACUCUAUUUCCCUCCUCAAUAAGGUAUUUUCAUGAAGGGUUGGGUUUGCAUUAUUUGUACUUUUAUCUUCAAUCUCUUUCACAGUGCACAGUACACAGUGCACUGCACACAGUACAUAGUGCAUAGUUAAUAUUCGACACUAAUAUUCGAUUACGCAUAGUGCAAAUUGCAUACUUAAUAGUGAAUAGUACAUAGUUCAUACAACACAUUCGUGCGUAGCACGUACUACAUAGUUCAUAGUGUAUAGUGCAUAGUUCAUAGUGUAUAGUGCAUAGUUCUUAGCGUUAUAAUACAUAGUAGCGUUAUAGUGCAUAUCGCAUAGUGCAUAGUGCAAUAGUGCAUAAAGACAAUAAGCACCAAUUCUUUCCCGGGCCCGUGCAUCCUCUUUUCGCUGGUGGUCAGCCUGGUACCUCGGGUCGGCAAGGCAGGAAGGGCAAACACAAGGAACGUCCGACUCAGGAUACGACACAUCUGUAUUCGAUUCCGCAAAUAACUAUUCAAUUCUCAUGAAAAUAAAACCGAUACUAUAAUUUUCAAAAAAAAAAUUUACUUACUCGCGGCAAAGGUGCUAGGCAAUGGCCUUCCUGUGCAUAUUAGCGUUAUAGUGCAUAUCGCAUAGUGCAUAGUGCAAUAGUGCAUAAAGACAAUAAGCACCAAUUCUUUCCCGGGCCCGUGCAUCCUCUUUUCGCUGGUGGUCAGCCUGGUACCUCGGGUCGGCAAGGCAGGAAGGGCAAACACAAGGAACGUCCGACUCAGGAUACGACACAUCUGUAUUCGAUUCCGCAAAUAACUAUUCAAUUCUCAUGAAAAUAAAACCGAUACUAUAAUUUUCAAAAAAAAAAUUUACUUACUCGCGGCAAAGGUGCUAGGCAAUGGCGCUCUCCGUUUAUGGGUCAUUUUCUUAAAUAAUGACCUGUAUAAAUAAAACAAUAAAUUUUUGGUUUUGGUAAAUAAGAUCAAAAGACAAUGGAAACGAUAGACUCCUUGUUUUAUUUCGAGAGAGUAACUGGGGAAAAAUUCCAUAUGAAUGGGAAGUCAAUAUCUGAUAACUAUUAUGUUCAAAAAAAUCAGUGGCAAAUAGAACUUUCAAUGCAAAUUAUAGUUUUAAGAAAACAUAACAAAGAUGACUUUUCAACAACAAAGAUAACUUUCCAAAAAAUUGAUAUUUUUGAAUCGAUGCAUGAAAAUAUUAACUAACCACACACUGAUCAGAAAUACAUAACCACUAAGAUCGUUAAAAAAAUCAAUGAAUAUGAUGCAUCCUAUAAUUCAAAUGACAAUAAGCAGCACAAAAUCAUGUAAAAAAGACAGAAAGCCAUUGCUUUCCGAUCCAUCUAUGGCUUAUCUCUGUAUAUUGGAGCCAAAUACAAUAUUAUGGUAUGCCAAAUACAAUAUGAUUCAUGAGAGCCCAGAAAAACAUAUAAAACACUAAAUUAUUCGUGCAAAUUCCACAAUGCUAUAAACAAUUUAUUAGAGAAAUGUAAGGUAUUUAUUAAUAGUCAGAAAAACUAUUGUGGUUGUUAUGCAUUAUACGCGUUCUGAUAGAAAGACGUUUUGAUCUGCUAACUAGGGGAAAAGAAUCAUGAACACUAACGGGAAUAACAUAAAUACGAGAUGAAAAAUAAAAUGGGAAGGAAUAACUACAAAUCAGAACCGUGUUUUAUAGAUGGAGUGAAUAAGGGGGCCGCCUAUGAAGAGAACUAUUUAAAGACCCAUUACCAAGAUCACAUCAGGCUUAAAAAAAUAGUAUAUAUAGAAAAAAAACGGAUUCCAUUUCCAAGAUCUAAAAGGGAGGAAAUAAGCUAAAAACAUCUAAAAGGAAAGAAAUAAAAAACCCAUUCUAAGAUCUAAUAGAUCGUAGAAAAGAUGGGAAAAGAGGGGAAAAAAGAAAUAAAAAAAAAACCAUUUCUAAGAUCAACAAGAUCAUGGAAAUGAUUUAAAUACAUACCCAUCAGAUUCUUAGAUUUUUAUCUUUGAAUUGAGGGGAAAAAAUGAGGAACAACAAAGGGGAAAGAUUAAUACGGUAAUGGCAGACUUCCCAAAAAUGAUAAACCCAAAAAUCAUAAAACACCAAAACUGAAAUUUUAAGAGCACAUACCUGAGGAGGGAACGUGUUCGACCUGGCCAGCGCCUUCCUAUUGCGAUCAGCACUAGAGUUCGAUAUGACAAGCUUUGAGAGGGAGAGGAUGUGGAGACAACGUUGGAAAAAAUCGCCACUGGGGUAAAGAGGGCUACGAGAAAAUCGAAAUGCAGGUUAAAAUGGAUGUGGAAUGGAUGGGUUUCAUCAUAGGCAUACUGAAUACAGGUACCGGAUUGGUACAGUCGAAUCCUCCUUCCGUCCAUCGGUCUUUAGGAUGCUCAGUGGACAACGGUUUGCAGGUGUGACAAUGACUCUGGAAAAAGCACACAUGACCUGUGGACGGUUAUAAUUAAAUCAGUUGGAUUGAACGAUCAAGAUUAAGAUCGCACAUAGUGCGCAUAUAACGGUUCUCAGCUGAAGCGUUCUGUAAAUUUAUAAUCAACAGUUACAACUCAAUGACUAAAAACAUAAUUUCUAUUUUAACUAUUGUGGCCGAUCCGUUUACAGCCCAUUGGAAUUGGAAUAAAAACUUCAAUCAAUUUUAUUGAAACUAUUGCACUGAGUAACUUUGACUUCUUUAUUAAACGUUUCACGAGUGUUGGUCAUUUUGUCUGUAUAGUUAAACUUGAUACAUAAUUGUUAAAAGGUUUAUAAACUAUUAGAAAUUAUAUUUAAGUCCUAUUACAGUGUUAUCAGUUUAAAUACUCUCUGUUUUAGUAUUACCUAAACUAAGCUAAUUUCUUUAAUAUGUCUUAAUAUUGUUAAGGUUUUCCUCUACAUUAAGGAUGAUCCGAAUUGAUAUUCAAAUAUAUUAUAAGGAUAUAAUCGAUAUAUACUCAUUAAUUUAAUUAAUCAAAUGAUUUGAUUUGAUUUGAUUUUAUAUGAUUUGAUUUGAUUUUAUAUAAGAGCAAAAUAAAGAGGAAGGGAGAAAAUAAUAGUGUGAGAAAUUUAGAUUUUGGUUUCUCGAUUUUCGAAUUUCGUAUUGAUUUUCUUCAUAGAUCCUCUUGGUGUUUUGUUCGAACUGAAGUUUAUCCGGAAGAGGAUCGAAAUCAUCAAUUUGGUAACCUCAUUCUUCUUCUAUUUUUUUGUUCUCUUGUGGUUUGAUCUUUAGGGUUAGGAAAUACUUUCACUUGAUGUUUUAAGUUUUUGUUUGAGCUUCAAAUAUGUUUUUAUUAUUGACCCAACAAAUAUUACAUGAUUUUCAUCCUUGGAUGAAGAUUGAUUGACAGAUGUGUAAAUUUUUAUAUAAAAUCUUAACCUGAAUUUUUUCGAAUGAAAAUAAUGUAAUCAUUUUUUCAUCAUAGUUCCAACUUCCAAAGGCUUAUUUUGUUUUGAAUUAGGCUUUUAAUAGUUGGGCCGACUGCUCUCAUUACUCCAAACUUUUAUACUUCACCCAGUUUUCUCAUUAAUGGAGCAGAUAUAUUAUAAUCCAUAAAAGAUUUACAUGAUCUUCCAAGCCUAUUCCCCAUUAGAUUCUCUGCUACAUCCCCAAAUCUAUUGUAUACCUUUCAAUUAUCUUUCACCUUUAUUCUUGUCCUCCAACUGUUUUCUCUUUUCUAUUAAUAAACUUCACUGCCAUUUCCCAAUUCACCUCUCAACUAACUGGUUUUUCUUCUUCUUCUUCUUCUUUUAUCUGUUCAUCUCAAGAAACAAUGGUCGGAGAGAAAGCAAAAGAGAAACAAACGAUCGGAGAAGUCCCGGACUGCCAGUACUUGCAGGAAGAGGCAGCAACACUGGUGAAACCCAACACAACGGGCGCAAGCAAAGGAGAUGUUAUGUAUCUAUCCAACCUGGAUACCCAGAAGUUUUUGAGAUUUUCCAUUAAGUAUCUCUACGUUUACAAGAGAUGUGUUGAUGUGGAAGUGUUUAAGUCUACACUGUCAAGAGCAUUGGUUGAAUACUACCCUCUAGCAGGCAGGUUGAGGAGCAGUUCUGGUAGUGAUGGCAGCAGUAACUUGGAGUUGGACUGCAGUGAAGAAGGAGCUUUGUUUUUUGAGGGAAAGAUGGAUAUGACAGUAGAGUUUUUCAUGGAUGGAAUAAAGAAACCAAAUAGGUCUUGGAAGAAGUUGUUGUAUAGGAUUGAAGGUCAAAGCUUCGUUGAUGUUCCUCCUCUUGUCAUUCAGGUCACUCCACAAUCAACUUUCAUUUCAUUUUAAAAUAAAUUAACAAAAUCAAAACAUCACUUUAAUUCAAUUUCAUAUCAUUUAAAUCAUUAUCGAUAAGAACAAAUAGGAUUAGAUAAUUGUCGAUAGAUAUGAUUUAUUGAUUUUAUUCCUCUUACUUUAUCUAAUCUUGCUGUAUCUCACUUCACUUCUGUUCACAGUUCGUACAUACAUACAAAAUUUUACGUACAUAUAUGCCCUUUCAUCAGUUCAUGUGAUCUGACUCAUCUAGUCUAUUUAUGUUGUUCGAAGACAUAGUGUUUUGUGGGACCCAUAUAUAUUCCAACUGUUUUUUUCGUCUUCUUUUUUUCUAGCUGACGCAUUUGAGGUGUGGUGGAAUGAUACUAUGCAUGGCGAUCAGCCACGCUAUCUGUGAUGGUAUAGGCACAUCACAGUUCCUCAAUGCUUGGGCUCAGUUGGCUGUGACACCAGACGCCGAAAUCUCCCUCACAGAUGCUGCCCAUCUCCGCCGCAUACUCAAGCCUCGCUCGCCGCCAAAGAUUACUGCAUCUCAUUUGGAGUUCAAAGUUUUGAAUACUGGUCCUGAGUUUGAUUUUGACCUUCUUAAAUGGCUAGUUUCUCAGCCACUCGUGCCUGUCUCCGUGACCUUCACUUCCGCCGACGUGCUCCGUCUCAAACAACAGUGUGUACCAUCGCUUAAGUGCACCUCUUUUGAAGCUCUGGCAUCUCAUGUGUGGAGAAUCUGGAUCAGGUCUCUCGUUGUCUUACCAUAUAAUCUCAUCGUCAAGCUCCUCUUCUCUGUGGAUGUCCGCUCACGGCUUCGACCGCCACUUCCCACUGGAUACUAUGGCAAUGGGUUCGUUCUUGGCUGUGCUCUAGCAACAGUUGAAAAUCUAGUUACAUGGAACCUUCGCCAAGUGAUCGAACUGAUACAAGAAGGUAAGAAACGUCUCGAUGAUGAUUAUGUCAGGUCCAUGGUCGAUCUGAUGGAGGAAAACAGGAUCAUCAAACCAGAUCUCUCUGCUAGCCUGGUCAUUUCACAAUGGUCUAAAUUAGGACUUGAAAAUUUAGACUUCGGUGCAGGGAAACCUGUUCACAUGGGACCGUUGGCUAGUGAAGUGUAUUGUCUUUUUCUGCCGGUGGUCGGUGAUGUCAAUUCCUUCACAGUCUUAUUGUCGGUUCCGGAGAAUAUUGCCGAGGAGGUGGAGUUUGGUCUGAAGGAAGUCUCUGGACUUACUACUGCUUCCAUGGAAGAAGAUCAAGUGGAAAGCCGAAGACAUUUUAUGGGUGCCCUUAAUAAUAUUUGAAACAUUUAAAUUUCAAAAUCACAGUUCAGAGAUUAUCUUAAUUUUCACAUUUAUUAAGGUUGAUGUAAACUAAAUCAAUCUCGAUCAAAAUCUAUUUCAAUUAAUUAUGAUUAACAGAAAAGAAGGACCGGGCUUUGUAAAAUCGAGCAAUUGUAGCCCAUUUCACAAUCUUCCAUCUAUUUUGGGCUGGAUUUUAUCUUGUUUGUCUUUCUGAUCAUUCGGCCUUCUAUUUCAUUUGGUUUUCUGGUCAAAAAGAAACCAACAGACUUUGUUAAUCAGUUUUGGGGAAGCCAAAGGACUCCAGUUCCUUCACUUUAAAUUAAAAUAGACUCAACUGAUGAUGUUAUUUUUUUAUAAUGCAUAUCGGAAGUCGUCGUCAAAACAUAAGAGCAUCCACGAUGAGUUUUCUUCAUUCACCGUCGCAGGCUACAAAUAAUUGGAUCAAACACCUCUCAAUAUUAGAUCCUUACAAGAGGGGUUUUAGCUAGGGAGAUGGAGCGACCACAAGCUAUCUUAUAGUGGUCGCAACCAGCUGGUGCAGGUCCAAUGGAUUUUUUAUGAGAAAUUCAACUAUAUAAUAUAGUUGCUUUAAAAAAAACUAUAUGAUACAGAGCUGCUUAUUAGGUGCGACGUUGUUAAAGAUACCUAUGACAUAUGAUUCUUGUACAUCACCUAAAGGUAAACAUUUUUAUAUUUUGUAGACAUAUUAGGGUCUGUCUUGUUAAGGUUUCAAGUUUUUUUAGGAUAACAUUUACACACUUUCGCUAGGAGUGAGCGGGGACGGGGCGGAUUUUGCGUUCUCCGUCCCCGUAUCCGGUCAUUUUGAACAGUUAAUUUUUUAACUGUUCCCAAAAAUCGUCCCCGAGGGCGGGGAUCCUCGGUUAAUUUUUUUUAAAAUUAAUUAAUUUAUUAGUAUUAUUUUAAACAGUUAAUUACUAAAAAUAUUAAUGUCCCCACCCCAUCCCCGCUCACCCCUACUGCCCUAUUUCAUUUAAAAAAAAUCAGACCGAUCUUGCGAACUUGCGAAGCAUACCUUAGGACUUAGGAUCGAGUUAGGUCAGCAGCGGAGUUAGGAUAACAGCGGUGGAUUGGUGGAACAAUAAGAAUAGAAAUUAGAUUUAAUUUUUAAGGUUUUAUGUUUUUAAUUAGGAAUUUAUAUUUAUGAUAUAAAUUUAAUUUUAUAAUUUUAAAUAUAAAUUUAUCUAUUUAAUAUAUUGUAUAAGGUUAUUUAUAUAAAUUAUACAAUAUAAAUUUUUUUGGAGGUCAAUAUGCAAUUUUCUCCGGGUACGGGGAUUAUCUGGGACAAGGAUUUCGAUCCCCAUCCCCGUAGCCGGAAAUGACCAGGGAUUUCGGUCGGAGACGGGGACAGGGAAUUUUCAGCUUCGGAUAGAAAAAUCAUUUCUGUCCCUGUACCCGGACGGCCGGGUACAGGGAAUCUCACUUCUAACUUUCACACAUUUCGUUAUGCAUUUUUAAUCUGACAUUUUUAUGGUAUAUCUUGUUUAUUUUUUUAGGACAGGUUUCUUGUGCAUCGAAUUUCAAUGCGUCAAAAAAUCUUGAUCAUUAAAUCGACAUUUCGUUGUACAUGAGUUAGUAUCUUUUGUUGUACAUUUUCUUUUCCAUCGUACAUGUGUCAGUGUCUUUAACAGUACAUUAUUGUAGCUGUUGAAUUAAAAAUUAAAAGAUAAGAUUCACACGACGCAUUUUGGCACACCGACGUACGACACCUGAAAAUUACCAUAUUUUUUAAAUAUAACCUUGGAAUAAAUCUCGAGAGCCAAAUUAAAUUUCUAAAUUUAAUAGUUAUUGUAGCCAACUGACUAUAUAUAUUUUUGUUAAUUUUUAUGAGUUAUAACUUAUAGGCUUUGAAUUUUUUUUAAAAUUAAAUUAAAUGACGUCAUUGACGUACCGGUUACGACUCAUGUCGUGCACAGUGCUCUAACAAAUAUCCAUUGUAUUUGUUAGUUUGUUACAUACUUUUUUUUAUAAUACAUUUUAUUAAAAGAAAAAAUCGACGUGUUUCAACCAAUAGUUGACCGCCACGUAUUUAAAUUAGAUUCAAAGUCAUGUUAUUCAGCCAAGAAUAGCAAAAUGACAAUAUAACCCAUAUUUUUCAAAACUCAUAUCUGAACCUUAUAUGGGUAAUAUGGUAACCGUGCCAAUUUUAUCCUUUUUUAUGCAAAGGAGAGGACUUUCGCACGAGUGUAUUUCACGUUUGGUGUCUUGCCCCCAGCUGAAUCAUCAUUAAAUCUGGUAGAUCGUUCGCUGAGAUCAUUUUAGCUAAACUAGCGAAUAGACAACAUAAUAAAGCAUAAAGCGAUAAUUUGAAUUACCAAGAAUCCAAGAUUUAGGAUUUUUGAGUUGAAAUCGAUUAAAUUCAGUGUCCCGCGAGAUAAGAGAACACAGCAAUCGGGUUGGUUUAUAAAUUUAUACAAGGCGGAAUCCUCCAUUUCAAGACCCAGGGCCCAGGGUGUAAAUGACGACGAUGAAUUCCUCUUCUCUCCUCCUCCUUUUGGCGAUAAGCUCCGUUCUAUCUCUGGUUUCCGCAACAGUGUUCUUCGAGGAGAAAUUUGACGGUAAUAAUGUAGAUCGGAUUGUUCUAUCUUCCCAUCUUUAUCCUCCGUCAACUUUUUUCCUCUUUAGGCUAAAAUGUUACAGAUCUGAAGUGAUUAUGAAAAAUAGGUGUAGUUGAUAGAUCUUAAGUUUUGAAGCAUUGGAUUUUUAUUGUUGUUUCUUAUUAGCAAUUUAGAUUCAUUACAUUAUUUGAAGCGAUUUCACUUCGAUGUUGUGAGUUUUGCGUCAAAUUUUAGUGAACAAUGAUGCUGUUAAUAUGGUCUGUAGAGGCUUUGUGAUUUUCAUUUGACGUUAUUAUUGCCUAUCUGUACAUAUAUGAUUCAAAAUUUGAUGAGUUAGUUACCGGAUCUGGAAUUUAUUUAUUUUUAUCUGUAGAUUGUUAAUGUUUAUUGAUUAUAUUUGUAGGAGGGUAGCUAUGUAAUGGUUCGUAAUGUUGAUAUAUUUAUAUGGGACCCAUUUUCAGAAUGGUUUCGAUGCCGUCCAUCGGACGGUCCCGAACAUGGUACAGUGCUACUGCGGUUCCGACCAUGGUACGGUACCGUCGGAUGACCAUCGGUCGGAGAUCGUUGUGUCCGUACAAACGGACGUACCGUUCUGGAAAAUUUCUGUAUUUAUAUGUUUUAGUGCAUAGUUUUGGAAAAAAUAAGUUGUUGUUUGACUCACUGUGAUGUCUGUCCCUCCGUCGCAUUUGUUUCUCUCUCAAUUUAGAUUUUAUUUUUAUGGCAUUGAUCGUCGUUGGUUAAAACCUAAGAGUGCAUCAUUAAUCUAUUUUGUAUUUCCGUAAAAUUCGUAGAAUAUACCUUGUUAGGGUCAUUUAUUUGUUUCUAAUUAGCUGACCUUCUGUUUCAUCGUUGAAUAUUAUAGAUAAAUGGGUGGAUCGAUGGGUGAAGUCUGAUUGGAAAAAAGAUGAAAGCAUGUCUGGUGAGUGGAUGCUUACUGCUGGGAAAUGGAACGGCGACGCAGCAGAUAAAGGUAAAUUACGUCUAAACUCUACAUUUUUUUUUGAUAUUUUUAUACUGUGGGACAAAUUGUACAUAUUAUAUUUUUUCAAUCAAACAUCCAUAUAUAUUUGAUUUAACGGUGUUUAACUGUUUGUUGCAUAUUACGAUAUUUUACUAGAGUAAUUAGUGAUCUUUUUGGAUGGAUAUAUUUGUUGAAAGUACAAGAUACAAAUCUAAAUGGAUAGAUUUCCCUUAUAUGCAGGUAUCCAGACAAGUGAAGACUACAGGUUUUAUGCGAUUUCAUCGCAGUUCCCUGAAUUUUCUAACAAGGACAAGACAUUGGUGGUUCAAUUCUCUGUCAAGCAUGAACAGAAGCUUGAUUGUGGGGGUGGAUACAUCAAGUUGCUAAGCGGGGAUGUUGACCAGAAAAAAUUUGGUGGCGAGACACCUUACAGGUAUGUCAAAAAUCUAUGGUCACAUCUAACUCUUCUGUUGUUGCACUUUUCAUUCGUACUCUGUUACUGGAUUUUCAUUCGUUUAUAAUUGAUAUAUAUCAUCUUUACUCUUUGCAGUAUAAUGUUUGGACCAGAUAUUUGUGGUUACAGUACAAAGAAAGUUCAUGCCAUACUUACCCGUAAUGAGAAGAAUCACUUAAUCAAGAAGGAGGUUCCCUGCGAAACCGAUCAGCUAACUCAUGUUUAUACAUUUAUUAUUCGUCCUGAUUCAACCUACAGCAUUUUGAUCGACAAUGUUGAGAAACAAACUGGUAGUCUGUAUUCAGAUUGGGAUUUACUCCCUCCAAAGAAAAUCAAGGAUCCUGAUGCAAAAAAGGCAUAAUUUUUCUUUCAAACUCUUUAUUAUUACCAUUUCGUCAACGACUUAAAUUACCUAAUAGAAUUAUCCAUUUACAUGUGUAUAUGUCAACAUUGGUUUUCAAUCCAUUGUGCAGCCAGAAGAUUGGGAAGAUUCUGAGUACAUUCCAGAUCUUGAGGAUAAAAAACCUGAGGUGAUUUUUUUCUCACAGCAGUUCUAAUUUUGUAUUUUAAACAUCAAUCCUUCGUUUUUUAAGAAAUAUUCACUUGUCUGUUUUUUUGAAGUUUCAUGGCAUAUCUAAAAUAUAGAAUAUAUUGCUAAAUGUAGGGCUAUGAUGAUAUAUUGAAGGAGGUAACUGAUCCUGAUGCUACCAAGGUACAAUGAGUGGUGUGGUCUUCUUUUGGUUUUUUGUUAAUUGUUUGUCAAAAAAAUUAAUCAAGAAUCUCUAAUCAAUGAGUUUUUGUACUUUCUGAUUAACAGCCUGAUGACUGGGAUGAUGAGGAAGAUGGUGAAUGGACUGCACCAACCAUUCCCAACCCUGAAUAUAAGGGUCCAUGGAAGCAAAAGGUUAGUCAGGUUGAGCUUUCUUUUUAAAAUAAAAAUAAAUAGCAACUUCAGACUCAUAAUUUCUGCAUCAACAGCAAAUAAAGAAUCCAAAAUACCAGGGAAAGUGGAAGGCACCCAUGAUCGACAACCCAGGUGAGGGUUCUAAGGAUCAUUUUAACUCUCAUUGAUGUUAUCAAUUUUUUCGUCAUGUCUUGCGAUGAAAACGAGUUUUCUUUCGCAGAUUUCAAGGAUGAUGCUAAUCUCUAUGUUUUCCCCAACCUUAAAUACGUUGCCAUUGAGUUAUGGCAGGUGAACUUCUAAUUUGACAUUGCCAUUUAUGUUAGUACAUCUUUUUGAGAAUUCUGUGUUAUUUGUCUGUGAUUGGUAAUCUGUAUAAAAUGUUAUAAACUCUUCAGGUUAAAUCUGGUACUUUAUUUGAUAAUAUUCUUAUUACCGAUGAACCUGAAUAUGCACUGAAAUUUGCUGAAGAUACUUGGGGAAAGAACAAAGAUGUAUGUUUGGUUUUUCUUCUUCUUUGAUGCUUGCAGAUUUAAAUUAUGCCAUGUGUUUCUGAUUCUAUCUUUUUAUAUGCUUGCAGGCUGAAAAGGCAGCCUUUGAUGCCGAAGAGAAAAAGAAGACUGAAGAGGUGAAAUCUUUAUUUCUGAGUUUUAUUUCUAAUAGACGACACUGUUAUUCAGUUUUUUAUUAAUAGUGAGUUUUUAAUUUUAACAGGAGGAAAGUAAAAAGAGUGAUUCUGAAGAUGAAUCUGAUGUAAGUAAUUUAGUUUUAAUGUUUGUUGGUUCAGACUUCAGAAUGUUCGUAAAUCUGUAUUAUAUUUUUUUAAAGAUUACAAUACUUCUUCGUUCAUUUUUUGUUUAUGUAUUUUGUACAGGAUGAGAAAGAUGAUGAUGGUGCUGAAGAUAUAGAUGAUUCAGAAGAUGAUGAAGGGAAACUUGAUCACGUAGACAUUCAUGAUCACUAUAAUUUUUUUAUCUUUGUUAUGCAAUUGACUGGGAGUCGUAUUAUUCUAACUUGUUUGCAAUUCUCUAUUUUUCAGGACGAGUUGUAGGAGAAAGCAUGGUUUUUUCUGGAGAGUUCAGUGAGAAAGUUGUUUUGAAUAAUAGUCUAAUUUUUUUGGGAGAAACAGAUUUUGUUUAUUUAAACAUGCUAAAUGUUUUGCUGAGUGCAUGAAUUGAAGUAAUUAAAAUUUUAAAGUUUAAAUCCUUGGAUUCAGUGUUCUAUUAUUUGCAUGAUUUCAAAUGGGUUGCUUACUUGUUUGUCCUUGAAAUCCUUAUUUUUAAAAUUUUAGGUAAGGGUGAGAAUGAGCCCGGGUCUACUGGCGGUCCAAGUUCAGACCAAUUCGUUAGGGUUGGGUUACAAGUCUUUAUCUUACUUAUAAGUCCGACCCGGCCAUUUUUCAGGUCGGACCCAAGUUGGAUUAAAGCCCUGUCGUUUCUGACUCGGUUUUUAACUUUUUAUAUACUGAUCGAUUGGACGUACGGGAUAGAUUUGGGCAUACGGAUCCUAAAUCAGUCGAGAUUACCUAACUCCGGAACAAGAUUACCAAACUCCAGCGAAAGCUAGUUAUGAGUUUUUUAUUUUAUUUUAUUUUUUAUUUUUUGCAAAUACUAGUCAUGAGUUGUUGGAUUCACGUAAUGAGUAUCGUGAAAGGUGAUGGAAAAAGUAAAAUUGACGUGAUGUUUUUAAAAAUAAUGAUUUAAAUCUCAAAACAGUUUUAAAACUUGGUUACACUCACACAGUUCCACAUGGUUACACAGUUACACUGUAGUUCUCGAGAUUGGGUAGGAAAAAUUUCAUUAAAACCCUAUAGAAUACAAAAACAUGUCAGAGUCAUUCGAUGGAUCACAUAUGUUCCGUGUCCAAUAUACAAUAAUCCUAACUUCAAUCUUCAUCUAUCUCCGCAGUCCGCACCUUUAGUACCCGCUUAACCAUCAACCUAAUUCCUUUUUUUUAAUCAAGAUCCAGGGUUUUCUUCAGGCAUCUUCCUAGUUCAGUGUCUCAAAGACCUAGUUCUAAAAUUAUCAGAAUAUGAAUCAGAGUUAACUAAUUCAGUUAAUUGUUUAGGGAAAGUAAUUAGUAUAACUGACACAAAUAUAAAUAUUAAUUAGAGGUAAAUGUACUACAUGUUUUACUGAUAACAAUCUUGAAUCUUUAUUCACUGUAAAUCAUUCUUCCCUCUCGAGCAACUGAUUGUCGUUUUCGAUAAAAAUCGAAACACUCACAAAGAAUUUAUGUAACUUCAUGCAUACACAAAGUAUACCAUAAAUUUAAUCUCAAAAAACCCUUUUUAAUUAAAUAUCGACAGCGAUGGACCGUAAAAUAUCCAUACUUCAUUUUAUAUCAUAUAUUCAUAUCUUAAUUUCAAUUUUUAAAGGUUGUUAAAUGUUAUUGUUAAUGCUAAGUCCUACUGUCCCAACAGGUUAACAAUUUACACAUAAGGAAUUUAUUAUUAUCUUAUUUUAAUAAAAGAAAAAAAUCGACGUGUUUCAACCAAUAGUAGACCACCACGUGUUUCGACGAAAAAUUUAAAGUUAUAUUAUCAGCCAAUAGCAACAGAAUGACAAUAUAUAACCCAUAUCUUUUGAAAAAUUACCACAGCAACUACUAGGUUACAUACUUACAUCGUAACCUUGAAUGGUUAUUAUAGUAAUCUUAUUAUUUAUAAGAAGAGGGGAGGACUUUGCACGUUUGCACGAGUGGAUUUCACGUUCGAUGUCUUAUCUCACCUGACUCCUCACUAAAAUCUGGUAGAUCGUUCCCUGAGCUCAUUUUAACUAAACUAGUAAGUUGCGAGUCUUCUCUUAGUUUAAAGCGAUAAUUUGGAUUGUUAAGAAUCCAAGAUUUUGAUUUUUGAGUUGAAAUCGACUAAAUUCGGUGUACCGCGAGAUAAGAGAACAUAACAGUCGGGUUGGUUUAUAAAUUUAUAGAGGGGGCGAAAUCCUCCAUUUCGAGAUCGAAGUGUGAAUGAUGAUGGCGACGAAUUCCUCUUCUCUUCUUCUCUUCCUUGUGGCGAUAAGCUCCGUUCUAUCUCUUGUUUCCGCCGCAGUGUUCUUCGAGGAGAAAUUUGACGGUAAUAAUGUAGAUCGGAUCGUUCUAUCUCCCCAUCUUCAUUUCCGUUAACUUUUCUCCUCUUUAAACUAAAAUGUUGCAUCAUUAUAGUGGGAUCUAGCCAUAGAUCGAUGAUGAUUAUGAAAUAUAGUUGAAGUUGAUAGAUCUGAAGCUUUAAAGCAUUUGAUUUUUGUUUUAUUUUUGCUUAUUCGCGAUCUAGAUUCUAUUCAUUUAUCUUUGCAAUUUCACUUCAAUAUUACGAGUUUUGCGUCGAAUUUUGGUGAGCAAUGAUGCUGUUAAUAUGAUCUAUUGAGGCUUUGUGAUUUUCAUUUUAUGUUAUAUUGCCGAUCUGUUAUGGAGUAUGCGGAUAGAAUAUUACAUAUGCGAUUUAAAAUUUGAUGGGUUAGUCAUUGGAUCUGGAUUUUAUUUUUAUUAGAUAUCAGAUAUAUUUAUACUGUAAUGCACAGUCAAGUAAUCCGUUUUGGAGAAGAUAUGUUGUCGUUUGAAUGAGUAUUACUUUUAUGCGUCUCUGUGGUGUUUCUUUCUUUGUAGACUUGUAGUGACUAGCUAGUCUCUAUUUGAAUAUAGACUUUUUAAUAGAAUUGAUGAUAUAUUUUUAUUCAUGGAUAAAACUUGAAAGUGCACCAUUAAUCUAUUUAGGAGAAUUCUACUUUGAAUAUACUUUUCCUCUGUUUACUUCUUAUUUGGAGAAUAUUAUAGAUGGAUGGGGGGACCGAUGGGUGAAGUCUGACUGGAAAAAAGAAGAUAACAUGUCUGGUCAGUGGAUGCUUACUGCUGGGAAAUGGAAUGGUGAUGCAGCUGACAAAGGUAUACGUUUAAUUUCAUUCAUUGUAUAUAACAAAAUUUUCAAUCAAACUACCAAAUUUAUAUUUGAUUUAAUGGUGUUUAUUGCAGAUUGCGAAAUUUUACUAGAGUAAUUAAUGAUUUCUUUGGAUGGAUAUUUUUUUUUCAAAGUACAAGAUACAAAUCUAAAUGGAUGGAUUUCCCUUAUAUGCAGGUAUCCAGACAAGUGAAGACUACAGGUUUUAUGCGAUUUCAUCGCAGUUCCCUGAAUUUUCUAACAAGGAUAAGACAUUGGUGGUUCAAUUCUCUGUCAAGCAUGAACAGAAGCUUGAUUGUGGGGGUGGAUAUAUCAAGUUGCUAAGCGGGGAUGUUGACCAGAAAAAAUUUGGUGGCGAGACACCUUACAGGUAUGUCAAAAAUCUAUGGUCACAUCUAACUCUUCUGUCGUUGCACUUUUCAUUCGUAAUCUGUUACUGGAUUUUCAUUCGUUUAUAAUUGAUAUAUAUCAUCUUUACUCUUUUGCAGUAUAAUGUUUGGACCAGAUAUUUGUGGUUACAGUACAAAGAAAGUUCAUGCCAUACUUACACGUAAUGAGAAGAAUCACUUAAUCAAGAAGGAGGUUCCCUGCGAAACCGAUCAGCUAACUCAUGUUUAUACAUUCAUUAUUCGUCCUGAUUCAACCUACAGCAUUUUGAUUGACAAUGUUGAGAAGCAAACUGGUAGUCUGUAUUCAGAUUGGGAUUUACUCCCUCCAAAGAAAAUCAAGGAUCCUGAUGCAAAAAAGGCAUAAUUUUUCUUUCAAGCUCUUUAUUAUUAAUUUAUUACCAUUUUGUCAACGACUUAAAUUAUCUAAUAGGAUUAUCCAUUUACAUGUGUAUAUGUCAACAUUGGUUUUCAAUCCAUUGUGCAGCCUGAAGAUUGGGAAGAUUCUGAGUACAUUCCAGAUCUUGAGGAUAAAAAACCUGAGGUGAUUUUUCUCUCAGAACAGUUCUAAUUUUGUAUUUUAAAUGUCAAUCCUUAGUUUUUAAAGAAAUGUUCAUCUAUCUGUUUUCUUUGUGUGUCUGUCUAGCAUCAGGAUAUAGAUUUAAUAAUUUAGAACUUCAUAAAUCUAUAUUAUCCAUAGUUCAAAAAGCGGAAAAGCGGUCAGCUUUUCCAUUGACCGCUUUUUCAGCUUUGAGCGCUUUAGCGCGCUUAAAGCUGAAAAAGCGGUAGUGGCAUUAUUGUAAAUAAUUGUAAUUUUAUUAAAAAUAUAUAUAAAAUAUAUAUAAACCUGUAAUUAUUCAAGACGUCAUCCAAAUUAUUUGAAAAACAUUUACAAGUCAUAUAACCUAAUCAUCUAGACGUGCACCAAUAUCUAUAUUAUCUCUUAAAAUUUCUUCCAUUUCAUUCAUGCAAUGAUGAAAUUGGGAUUCAGUUCCCAUAUCUCUAGGGUUUUGGAAGAAAUAGAAGUGAGAGUGAUAAAGGAAAUUAGGGUUUUAUUAGAAGGGUAUUGGGUUUAUAUAGUUAGAUAGAAAUUGGAGGGGUAGGAAGGGAAAUUAAAAUAGUUUAAGUUAUUUCACAUGGGUAAUGGGUUGUCCCAACCCAAUAACCCAACCCGACCCGACAACCCGACCAGAAAAAGCGUUUUAGAAAGCGGUCCUGGAGGACCGCUUUGCCACUUAAAGCUAAAAAAGCGACGCUUAAAGCGUCGCUUUUUGAACUAUGAUAUUAUCAAUUUACCACAGUUUUAUUAUUUCUGUUUAACCGUAUUGUGUAUGAGAUGUGAUAUUUUUUGCAAUGUAGCACCUGUAAGAUUUUUGGCUAUCUGGCUGUUUAUUUUUUGGAGUUUCAUGGCUUGUCUAAAAGAUAAAAUAUAUUGCUUAAUGCAGGGCUAUGAUGACAUCAUCAAGGAGGUAACUGAUCCUGAUGCUACCAAGGUACAAUGAGUGGUGUGGUCUUCUUUUUGUUUUCUGAUGAUUGUUUGUCAAUUUUUUUAGUCAAGAAUCUCUCGUCAAUUUAUAAAUAAUUUUUCACUUUCUGAUUAACAGCCUGAUGACUGGGAUGAUGAGGAGGACGGUGAAUGGACUGCACCAACCAUUCCUAACCCUGAAUAUAAGGGCCCAUGGAAGCAAAAGGUUAGUCAGGUUGAGCUUUCUUUUUAAAAUAAAAAUAAAUAGCAACUUCAGACUCAUAAUUUCUUCAUCAACAGCAAAUAAAGAAUCCAAAAUACCAGGGAAAGUGGAAGGCACCUAUGAUCGACAACCCAGGUGGGGUUCUUCUAAGGAUCAUUCUAACUCAUCGAUGUUGUCAAUUUUCUCGUUUUAUUCUUGCGAUGUUAAUGAGUUUUCUUUUGCAGAUUUCAAGGAUGAUGCCAAUCUCUACGUUUUCCCCAACCUUAAAUACGUUGCCAUUGAGUUAUGGCAGGUGAACUUUUAAUUAUAUUACCAUUUAUGCUAGUACAUCUUGUUGAGGCCUGAGGGUUCUGUUUUAUUUGUCAUUGUGAUUGGUACUCUCUAUAUAAUGAUAUAAACUCUUCAGGUUAAAUCAGGCACCUUAUUUGAUAAUAUUCUUAUCACCGAUGAGCCUGAAUAUGCACUGAAAUUUGCCGAGGAUACUUGGGGAAAGAACAAAGAUGUAUGUUUGGUUCUUGAUUUUCUUUGAUGCUUCCCGAUUGCAAUUGUGUCAUGGGUUUCUGAUUGUUUUCUUCUUCUUUCUUUUUUAUAUGCUUGCAGGCUGAAAAGGCAGCCUUUGAUCUAGAAGAGAAAAAGAAGUCGGAAGAGGUGAAUUCUUUAUUUCCGCGCUGAGUUUUAUUUCUAAUAGACAAUGUUCUUCAGAUUUUUAAUUAAUAGCGAAUUUUAAAAUUUAAUAGGAGGAAAGUAGAAAGAGUGAUUCUGACGAUGAAUCUGAUGUAAGUAAUUUAUGUUUAAUGUUUGUUGGUUCAGAAUGUUAAUAAAUCUGUAGUAUAAUUUUUUUAAGAUUGUAAUACAUGGUUUAUUUUUUGUUUAUGUAUUUUGUAUAGGAUGAGAAAGAUAAUGAUGGUGCUGAAGAUACUGAUGAUUCAGAUGACGAUGAAGGGAAACUUGAUCAUGUACAAUUCGUGAUCACCUUUGUUUUUUAUCUGCGCUGUUCUGCAAUUGUAUUUGUAAUUCACAGUUUUCUAACUUGUUUGCAAUUAUUUACUUUUCAGGAUGAGUUGUAGAACACAUGGUGUUUGCUGGAAUGUUUUGUGAAAAAGCUAUUUUGGAUGUUGAUGAUUUAAGUUGGAAUUAUAGGUUUAUUAGUUUCCUCACGGAUUAUGUCGCAAUCGUGGUACUUUUGUCCUAUAAUUUAUAAUAGUCUACAAUUGUGUUUAGGAAAAAUGUUUUUGCCGGUUUAGAACUUAUUAUGUUUGUUUGAUGAUUUCUUGUCCUAAGUUGGGAGAAACAGAUUUUGACUUUUUAAACAUGUAAAAUGUUUUGCUGUAAGCAUGAGUUGAAGUAAUUAAAAUUUAAAACCCUCGAAUUCAGAGUUUUAGAUAAUUCCGAUUUCCUAGAGUUUUCAAUGUAUUUUUUAUCAUUCCAAUCUUAAUCUAAAAUUUUGGAAAUACAAGUUUAUUUGCAAGAUUUUCUUGUUAUGUAAAUGGGCUUGCUUUGUGGACUGUGGUAUUUAAUAUUUGUGAUAUUCAUUUACUGUUUAUCACUAAAAUAAGUUAGAUAUUCAUUUACUGUUUACGAUAUUCAUUUUUGGUAUUAUAAUAUAAGGCUCACGGCACACCACAUCUCUUCUUACAUCUCGUGGCAUGGAAAUAAACACGAGUAAGAUAUGUGUGUGGUUUUUGAUUCUUCAAACAAUUUCAAUUGCUCAACUUACAAUUCAAAUUUAAUCAAAUCUUUGCUACUUGUAAUAUUAAUUGGAAAAUAUGUGGGUCUAAACUAUUCAAUAGUUAUUUAGAUUUUAGUCCGAGAGCCAGAGGUGAAAAAAAAUAUCGAUAGAUAUUUGUUUUUUUAAUCUUUAUCUUUAUUAAUUUGACUAUUGGCUUGUUAGUUGUUAAUUAUCACUUUGAUUCCUUUGUAAGUUGUCUGAUCAAUUCUAAUCUAAUCUUUUGUAAAUUUUCUUUAAAAAAAAUUGAUAGAUUCGAUUCUUGGAAAUUGGUAAUUGUGAUUUCAAACAAAAAUUGACAAAUAUACAGUGCUCUUCUAAUUAAAUUUGUAUUUUUUUUUAAAGAUAAUAAUAAUUUUAUCUUCGAGUUAUUAGUUGUUACUUUUAAUUUCAUUCAUUCAUUCAUUGAUUUGUGCAUUUCUCUCCUCUGACUCUCUGUUUCUUUUGCUAUAUAUAUUGCGUAGUGCCGUAGUAUAUACACACACACGGGCCACGGUACACUUCAUUCCUUACCAAACCCAAACUUUGGUAAUUACUAAUCAGUAAUCAGCAUUCAUCAGAGUAAAGAAUAGACAUUAUUGGGUUGUGGUGUGUGUGUUUUUUCCUCAUUCUAGGUUAUUUUAUCAGUUUCUGUUAAGUGUUGUUUGCCCUUUUGACAAUCUGGGUUGUGGGUGUUUUACAGAAUAAUGUCUUUGGCAUGUCCAAGUUUGCAUUUUGGCAAUAAGGGAUUGGAGUUGGCCACUUCCUGUGCUGGUUGUUCUUUGAAUAUCAUCAAUAGUAGCGGCAGCAGGAAGAAAUACAGUUACGGUGUAAAGUCUGUUAUUCAAAGCAAAGGGUUUCGUUCCCGUAGGUCAGGUGGUCGAUGCUUGGUCUCAAUCGCACCAAAUGCUCCGGGUAAGUAGGAAUUCCAUCCAACUACCUCUUUCUUUCUGUAAUUUGACUAAUAUUUGUAAUGACUAAUGAGUAAUGACCCUAUAUUUUUAUUGAUUUUAUUACAGGUGAUGCUUCUGUUGGAACUCCUACUACUCCUAUUUCAGUGUCAUCUCUGUUGGAUACAGUUUCUGCUGACCUUCAGACUCUAAACAAGAAUCUGAAAUCUGUAAGUACCUGUCACCCAAUUAAGUAAUUACUUGCCAUCUUCAUCUGAUUAAGAUCAUUAAUAAUCAAACUGACAAAUUUCGGUUGUUUUAGAUUGUUGGUGCAGAAAACCCAGUCCUAAUAUCCGCUUCUGAACAAAUAUUUGGUGCCGGUGGAAAGAGAUUGCGACCUGCUUUAGUAUUCUUGGUUUCAAGAGCUACAUCUCAAUUGGGUGGUUUCAAGUAAUCCAUUCCAUAAUUCCAUUUUCUCUUGUAUAUACAUAUAUAUAUGUUAAGUAACUUUAAUCUCAGGGAUCUUACAACUCAACAUCGUCGUCUAGCAGAGAUCAUUGAAAUGAUCCACACAGCAAGUUUGAUACAUGACGAUGUUCUCGACGACAGCGACACAAGACGAGGUAUGUAGUUAAAUUUAAAAUCUAAGGCAUGUAAGUAAUUUAAUUGUAUCUAUCUAUGAUCUAUCAACAGGGAAGGAAACUAUACAUCAAAUCUACGGUACUCGUAUCGCUGUACUGGCAGGUGAUUUCAUGUUUGCACAGUCAUCAUGGUAUCUUGCAAAUUUGGAAAACCUGGAUGUUAUAAAGCUGAUCAGCCAAGUAUGAAGUAUAUAUGUUGUUGUUCUGAAUGGGAAUAGCAUGACAAAAAAAAUUAAAAUAUAUCCAAAUUACCAAAUGAACAGGUGAUUAAAGAUUUUGCAAGUGGUGAGAUAAAACAAGCAUCAAGUCUGUUUGACUGUGACUUACCACUGGAAGAUUAUCUUCUGAAGAGCUACUACAAAACAGCAACUCUUAUAGCAGCCAGUGCGAAAUCUGCGGCGAUAUUCAGUGAAGCAAACGAGCAUGUGUGCAAUGAGAUGUUCGAGUAUGGAAAGAAUCUGGGUCUUUCAUUCCAAGUCGUGGAUGACAUUUUAGAUUUCACACAAUCAUCAGAGCAGUUGGGUAAACCUGCUGGGACUGAUCUUGCAAAAGGAAACCUGACGGCACCUGUAAUAUUUGCUCUACAGAAACAACCAAAUUUAAGAGAGAUCAUCGAUUCUGAAUUCAGCGAACCUGGUUCAUUGGAACGCGCGAUCAGGAUUGUAUUUAAAUGUGGUGGAAUCGAUC